rnacentral:lncRNA from 1 species
AAGAAUGCUAUCAAGAGAUGUGUGAAGACUGUAGCUAGGAAGACACUGAGCACCGAUACCAAUGGCCAUCUCCAUAACGCGCGCUUCUGCGAGAAGGACCUUCUGCUCACAAUCGACCGUGAGGCGGUGUUUGCGUACGCAGACGAUCCUUGUAGCGCCAACUACCCACUGAUGCAGAAGAUGCGUGCAGUUCUUGUGGAGCAUGCCUUGGCAAAUGGUGAGGCCGAGCGCGACGUGGAAACGUCAGUGUUUGCCAAGCUUGCCACGUUUGAGCAGGAGCUUCGUGCGGUGCUGCCAAAGGAGGUUGAAGCUGCCAGGAGCGCCGUGGAGAAUGGCACUGCCGCACAGCAAAACCGUAUUGCCGAAUGCCGGUCGUACCCACUCUACCGAUUCGUGCGCAAGGAGCUUGGAACGGAGUACUUGACCGGAGAGAAGACGCGGUCUCCUGGCGAAGAGGUGGACAAGGUGUUCAUUGCCAUGAACCAGGGCAAGCACAUCGAUGCGCUGCUUGAGUGCCUCAAGGAGUGGAACGGUGAGCCCUUGCCUCUCUGCUAAAUAGAGGAUCGAGAAAGUGAAGAGUAGUGUGCUUCAGAUUUCUGAAGGCUCUGAUGAUAAUACUGUUUUUUCAUUGUAUAUUCUGAAAGUUGAUAUUUACAAUGUUCUUCUAGAGCUGCCAAUGUAUUGCCAAAGAUUGCAAUUGCAUGACUUGGUAGUGUUGGGUAGCCAGUAGAACUCUUAUGAUGUACCUAAGUUAAAAAGGCAGUGUGUGUUACAUUUUCAUGAUAAAUGUACUGGGUCCAUCUUUUUAGAUCAACUGGUCCUCAUGACAAUAGUCCAAGAACCAACUAUUGGAAUUUCUUAUGGUGUGUGUACGGAGAUUCGGAAAGUAAAACUCGUGCCUAGGUGGUCACCGGUUGGUAAUAAGUUCUCUGAAUUCUUUGGACGGGAACGAGGACUUCUCUGAAUUCGCAUUCUCCCAUCUAGUUUUUCAAGUUUCAGUCUGGAUUUCUAUGGAGGCACACAAUGAUGUUUAACUUGGUGUUAUUCAACUACCGUACCACCGCAUACUGUGAAUCCAAUUUUUUUAUAUUAAUUUAUUUACUAAUGAUCUCAGCCCAUAACACAGGGUACAUACACAUGAAGUUUCUCUGUGCUUCUGAACAUUGCACUAUUUUUUAGUUCUAGCCAUACGUGGGCAGGAAAUAUAUAUGGAAAUUGUAAGGUUGCUCUGGCAUGUGACGCGUAUUUAUAUUCUACUCCCUUUGGUGUUCUUUAAUCUACACGCAUCAACACCUCUGCGCGUACAUUGACCAUGCAGGAGUAUGUUCCUCUGCACCGGGCACCAUACCCUGCCAACUAACGCGUCCGUGUUGGAUGAAAUGAAGAUGUCAACCAGCUGUGUCCUAAUCUCGAACUCAGUAGGAGAAACAGAAAGCAGUCAAGUAGUCAUCUUCAAACCUUAUUUCUUUUUUCAUUGUAUUUCCUUAUUCAAUCUUGAAAAAAAAUUGUAUUUCCUUAAAAGUCAGUGUUUUGUAAUCUUCCUAUAAAGAUGCUAGUUUGUUGCCAAAAAUGCAAUUGCAUGCUUUGGUGGUGAUAGGUUGCCAGUAGAACUUCUAACAUGUAAGUUAAAAUGGUACAAUGUCUGAUAAAUAUUCAUGAUAAAUAUACUGUACGUGUCCCUUUUUCUAGAUCAAUGGUCUGAUGGUUCUUGAGGCAACUUCAAACAGUGCAAAGAAUCUAUUGUGUUUUCAUGACCGUAAAAAAUCUAUUGUUGUCAUGCCAUAUAGUGUGUGGACAUGAUAAACCAACAUAGACCACGAUCAGAAAGUUAAAGUGGUUGGAGUUCUGGAGCAGGAAAAUUGUAUAAGGACCCAGUGGUGGUGGAAACUGACAGCACGACAAUGGGGAAUGAGCUCCAGGCUGGCUGGCCGGACGAACCGAUCCAAUUGUUUCUCCCUGCUGGUUGACAUAAAAACGAAGCUUCUGCACUUCUCAUGUGAGAUCAACAUCGCGGGGAGGAAUUGUAAUAGUUUGGCUCACGAACUGGUAGCUGAAGCAAGGAGAAAUGGCAAUCUAACGCUGAUAGGCAGGGUUCCGGAGACUCUUCAGCAAGUUUGUUUGCUCGAUUAUAACCCAACCUCUUGGUAGACUACUCAUUGGUUGUAAAAAAAAGAAGUUAAAAUGGUUCCUACGUAGUAACAUAGUCACUCGUCAUCUCCGUAGUGGCUUCUCUGAAUUCUCAGUCUUGUACCCACUUGUUCCUAUUAGGUGUUCUAUUUACCAACUUCAGUCUGAAAUGUAAUAAAAGCACAUAAUAUGAUGUUCUCCUAACUUGGUGCUAUGAACAUAUUUUAGAUAGAAGAUUCUCAUUUCUUUGUUGGCGGCUGAACACAAAUAGUUUCUUUCGUCAAUGAAAAUGUUCACUAAACCAAAUAUCAGGUUCCCAUGUAAUUUAAAGGGCACUCAAAAGAAGCUGACAAGUUGAAGUAUCAUACAUGCCUUGCUGAAACCCUGCCCACAUGUGGCAAAGAGCCCUCUCAUAUAGUAUGAUUAAGAUUUGAGGAGAAAAUGAGGGAGUAAUAUUUUCGGGUUAAGUUAGGGGUGCAAUUAUAAUUGGUAGGAUUCUUAAGCACACUCAACACAUGCAGUUGUUCAUUAGAGGGGAAAAAAUGCAGUUGUUCGUGAAAUCUGAAUUUUGACCAAUGUUACUAAGUCAAUGGUCAACAACUUGAACGCUGAUGAUUUGGUGGUGGAGUUGUUGGCAACUACAGGUCAAGUCGAAUAUUAAUAUCCUCGCAGAACAAGUCUAGCGUCAACAAAGAUGAGGUCAAAAUUAGGCAAUUGCCGGUCUCACGUCUUUAGCACCCAUGGUGCGAGAAUGUUUCAUGAAGAAAAUUGUGGAUAUUUCCUGAUUAGCAUGGGCGUUGAUGUUCAACUUAAUUUAAACCAACAACCAAAUGUGAAUCAACUGAAGAUCACUGAAAAUUAUUACUGCUAGAUGUUUUCAGGAAGAAAAUUUGCAUGUUUUUUGCUUCAGAGGAAACGCCGGGUAAACAGCCAGUCUAACUAACUUCACUAAAACCACGAAAUUACGGAGUGAACUUUAUUCAGCCUGAACUUGCACGGGAUGUAAAUUACAUCUGAAUUAAUCUAAACUGCUUCACUCGUUCGGGAGAAACUGCUUGCACAACUCGAGUGUCCACGUGCAUUUUCACCUCCAGAGAUUCACAUGCAGUGUGAUCACACUGAGCAUACUGAUACAAGCCGGGGUUCUUGUCCAUGCGAGUCGUCGGAUCAGGUCCUCAACGAUCUCUUUCUAUAGACUGCAGCUCAAACAAGAUUGUGCACAUGUAUGCACGCAUCCGACCGACCCGUGUUUGUAAGAGCUGACCCAUUGGCUAUGGAAAAUACGCUCCCUGACUUGGCACGACCAACCACUCGGACGAAUCUCGUGGAUACAUACAGCGAGAUGUAAACUUCACCAUCAGUAAUUUCAAGAAAGCAAUUUCUGUCGCAUUCAUGGUCACGGUGUGCACUGUGCACGCGGUGACCGACCAUGAAAGGCCAGACGCUGGACCAAUGGACACCGGCCGGUUCCUCUCCGUGGAACAGCCGGAAUUGAGGCUCAGGACUCAGGAAAGAAACCAAACGUCGCUUGCCGUGGAACGCGUGGGUCCGUGCGUGAGGCGACAGGGCACAUGCCGCGUCGGCGAGCAAUGAACGCGCCUCGUCGUCGUCGUGGGCACAAACGCGCGCAAUGAAGCCCGAUCUCCAUACCUGACCGAUCACGGAUUAGGACCAGGGGCGGAGCCAGGAUGAAAACCGAGAGGGGGCAAAGAUGUGUAUGUUUUUUUUUCUUCAAGUUCAUACAUAGUGUGUAAGACCCCUAAAAAAAAUGCAGUGUGUAAGAAGUAAAAUCAUAUAUUUCCUUAUAAGAUAAUGUCAGCACAUACUUAUGUCAAGUUCAUUGCCAAAGUAAAAAUAAACUAACUAUUUAAGGCGCAAUAACUAGAGAAAUAUCAAUAUGUUGUUCCUGACCGUUUUGAAUUAAUUUGUAGUCUUCAAGCUGCAAGAAAAUAGAAACAUGUUUCAAUCUAGAGAGAAUGUAAAAUUUCAUAUAUAAAUAAAUAAGCUUGAGCACAUUACCUCCUUCUGUUUCAUCCCACGGCGAUUUUUUCCAUGGAAGUGUUUAAUUGUCACCUCUUUAGGCAUAUUGUGGGUUGUUGACUUUCCAAAGAAUCUCUUUAUUAGCUUCCUUGUCAAUGUCAAAUACAUGAGCGUUCAAAAUUUUGACAUACAGUAACGUUUAACAUUCAUAGAUUUAGUCUAUUCCACGUACUUAUUUACACAAAAUUAUUAAGCUAAGCUAACUCAAUCAGCAUUCCAUAUAUGAUACGAUUACCAAUCCAUAUAUUAAAAUUUCAAUACGUGGAUAUUUGAUACGAGUACCUCUCUAACAUGAAAAUCGGAAUAUAACAAUAAUUGGAAAUUAGAAGAAAGAAACUGAACCUACUCAUCCUAGGGUUUACGACUUACCGGCACAACGUCUUCCUUGUGCUAAUCUGACGGACGGCCAGCCGGCCUGCAGGCUGCGGAUCGAGGCCACCGCCGGAGGCACGCCAUGUAGGUGCAGCGCAGGGCGGAAGGCGUCGGCGGCUUGUCACGUCAGGGAGCCAGGCGGCGAACGCAUCUGAUCAACAACUCUGACUCGGCAACUCCCGCACUCUCGUGCGUGACGUGUGUGCUGUGUUAAUUCGUUUCCAUUGAUUCGAGUAGGCAGCCUCUUCGUAUUGGGUUGUGCUGGUGUUCUAAGCCAUUAUUUCUCGUAUUACAUGGGCUUUGAAUUUAGAGCAGAAAAAUGAUUGAGUGAGGGUAAAUAUAUUAAGCUGAGCGGGGGCAACGUUUUGUACUACGAGCCUAGUACAAGUGGGCUGAGAAAACGAGUGGGGGCAUUCGCCCCCACAGGCUACAAGCUAGAUUCGCCCCUGAUUAGGACGGCACAUGCUGCAGUCGGACUCUCUCCACAGUCGAACUCUUUGCAGUGUUUCCAUAAUAUCUGCUCAAAACACAAGUCAAGUGUGCACUGAGGAGGGAAACUUCACACCGGAGAACUGGGACCGGAAGUAUGCAUCAGAAUGGCUUUACAUUCAGACCGGAAUAUCCUUCGUCAUUUACUCAUUUGGAGAUGGAAUUGCACGGACGACCAAGACGGAACAAAAGCGGGUUUCUAGAUCUUGAAACGAAGCUUCAAUAGAUCAAGUGGAGUUCAUAAAGGAAUCAACAAAUCCACGUGAUUCUGAUCACCGGCGUGCUUCUGUCGCAGGACUCAGUGACUGACUCACCAUGGGAGGACUGAUAAGUGGACUAAUUAAUUCGUAGGAAAGCAGCAGGAAAAGGAUAGGAAAAUACUUGAGAUCAUCUCAUAUCAUGAUCGAGUUUAAGCACUAUUUCUUGGUUACUUUAAAAUAGAAUAGUACGUGGUGUUCGUCACACCCCAAAACAGAGUACUAGUGGCCUGUAGUGAUCACUGAUCACGACUCCGUUGUCCAUAGCAGACCUCCACUUUCUUUAGCUAAACAAACCUAGCUCCUUUCCAUUUAAAGAUCUCUUUUCUGUUAGUUUAUACAAUGGUGCAUGCAGCCGCCUUGCUUCAUUUAAAUGUUUCAAUAUCGACGACAAAGAACAUGAUUUCCAUGAGUACAGUUUGCACGUUCGUAACUUUAGUGCAGCGUUACCUCAAACAAAAAGCAAAAAAGUAACUCGUAGUGCACGGUUAUUCGAAUCAGACUAUGUAUCUAGAAGGUAAGAGUAUCUACAGCCGGACUUGGCAAAUCCGACACCUCAAACGCACGCGGAUAUUUGGGCUAGAUAUGGAAAGUGCCGGUCAACUCGGCCAUUUGAGGACCGUUUGAAGGGCCCGUCUGGGUUCAAAUUUCAUGACCGGGCAGCGACCGGAUGGCCUGCCCAGGCGUUUGAGACGGGUUUGAGAGGUCCGGUUGUAAGAUGCUCUAGGAGCAUGCAGCCUGUGUAUUUCAUGCGCUUGGUGUGAUGAGUAACUAAUUAACGAACAUGUAACAAACUAGGACUUUGAUUUCUAAAUAUUUUAUUUUGUUUAAAUUCAUUCCUUGGUAAAUCUCCCUUCUCCUCCCCUUCAUCCCUCUUCGCUUGCCCCCUAUCUUGAGAGUCCACCAGGGCUGCCCGGCCCGAUCCAACGCCUCGUCCGACGGCACUGUCGGCUGGCGAUGGUUACAGAGAGGUGCUCGGGGUCUUCCAUGUGCAUAUUAGGAUAGUAGAAGUCCUAGUUAGUCUUGACUUUAUGUCAUGCUUUGGCGCGCCAACCUAUAGCUUGUGAGCGGCGUCGUUUGCUGGUCGAUGUUGUCUUCUUCCUUGCCCCCGUGAUGGAGGGAAGAGGACGGCGAUGAAUCUGGCAAUACCCCCCUCAAUAUGUUCGCCCUGGUGCUAUGGUAAGUGGUGGAGGUGGUGAGGCUGCUAUUUUUCUCUACCCGUCGAGGCGGCGGCAAGAAGAGAUGUGUCGGAUCCAAGCACUCCUCGCCUUGUUGUUGUUCUAUUGCAUCGGAUCUGUGCGACUGGCACCGACUUAAUUGGCUCCUAUGCUGCAGGAAGAGGUUUACCAACUCGCUUGUUUUUGCAGGAAGAUCCAGAUGCAAGGUGGUGAAGAUGUUGUUGGGGCCAGAGUGGAUCUUGGGCGACUGCUUUGGAUUAUCCUACACAUCCACUGCGGCGGUCGAUGUUUGAUCCGUUCCAAAAAGUAGCCGAUUUCCUUGGCCAAAGGGUGGCCAAUUUUCUUCCUCCUGGCCAUGAUGUCAUAAGGAAAGUAGUGCAUCCUUCAAGUAGAGCUCAUGGUGUGUUGCUAUGAAGACUUCAUCGAACAAAGUGCUUGCGUACCCGGCGCUGACUAAGUUUGUUCUGCGAGGAGGGUAUUUUGGACCUGAUUGCAUUAUGUAUCCAUGUUCCAAGGUCAUUCUGGUAAAGUAUGGGGACUUGGUUGUCAUUUCUUUCUAGUUUGGGUCAUGCCAUAAGAUGAUAUGUACUUUCACUUUGAUCAAUAUAGCAUGGUCCUUUGAGAUCAUUUUUUUGUUUAAACAUUUAUUCAUUACAAUUUAAACUAUGAAAAAAAUUCAAAAAAGGAAAAGGAAAAGAAACAACUUAACAUGAAAAUUUGAACAUGAUACAAUUAAAUAUAAUGGGAUUUGCAACCAACUUAGAAUGCUCUAAUGGAUGAUGCCUGGCCAAUUUUAAAACUUGACCAGCGGUUCAACCGAAAAAACCUGCAGCCGACCUCUUCUCUAUUUUUUAAAGAUGCUUUGGUCUUUUAGCAAAAACGGAAAAUAUUCAGAAAACAGUGUUUAAGACCAAAAAAAACUUUGAGCUCAAGCAACCAGAUAAUGAAGCCCAUUACAUACUAGGCUAGCUACAUUUUGAGAUUUAUUGAGGUAAUACAUCUUAUGUGUAUUUAUUGAUCAGUGUUCGCACACGAACACGUCACCGUGUACCUCCAACACCGAGGGUGGUGCACCGCAGCUCACGUCGAAGGAGACCUGUCCGGAAACGUGGUACGCAAGCAAUCCGGCAGGCGCUUUUGAGCACCCGAAACCCCACGCGCCCGAGAAGGACCCCGUCUGGACGCGCAGCGGCUAUGGGCUGCCCUAGGUCGGUCUAACCACCCCUAGGGCCUCGAGGUUCGCCGCCCUGCAAAAUAAGAACGAACGAAGAACGAGGAAGAAGAAGAACUAGGGUUAAGGAGAAAACAUAAUAGGUAAAAAGUGAUAUAUUGAUAGAUCGAUUGUGUGUUGUUCAAUCGGCCAUCACCCCUUACAUAUAUAUGAGGCGGCUGGACUUCCUGUACAAGAAAAGGACUCAAAUCACGUCAAAUCAUCAAAAGAUUACCUAACUUGGACUAUGACGGCCGGAACUUCCGGGCUAAAACAAGUAGCCAUCUUGCACAGCUCCUGCAGGUUUCAUAUGGCUUCGGAUCGCGAUGGUCCCAAAAGCAAAGUUGUAGAUAUUGCAAUGGAGAAAAACUCUUCAGUUAAUCACCUUUUCAUCCGAGGUCAUCUUGAGGUUGGAUUCGGGCCUGCAAAUAUGCAAAUAAUAUUGAAAUUCCAGUUUUCGGGGUGCACGGCGUGCAAAGUUUCUGUUUAGCCCGGAACCUCCCCGGAAGUUUUGCCUGGAACUUCCGGGGUAAACUUAUGCAGCACACCGUUUAGGCUCUAACUUUUGCAUACAAACUCUGAUUUAUAUGUUUUUCUAUAUCAAAAUCGACCGUUUCGACGAGACAAAGACAAUCCGUGUAGACACUUUUCUCAUAUGAGGCCAUCUUGGGGGCGUAAUCAGCCGAAUAGUGUUCUGAAUACAAAAUCUCAGUACUCCAAACACAACUUCGGCCUUAGAGAUGAGACCGGAUGGAUAUGGCCCAAAUAUCAAAGUUUCUCCUUUUGACGAUACGAAACUUUCUCACUUUGAGCACUUCUCCAUUUGAGGCCAUCUUAAUUAAGUUCUUGGCUGUGCCAAAAUCUGGUGUCAACACAUGCCCCCUGUUUUUGGCAAAUUUGUGUGCCAAAAAAUAACUUGCACGAUGCUUUUUCUAUGAAUGAUGUCAACACUCCAUCGGCCAUUUUAUGUGCUUAGACGGUAAGUAUAUAUCGACCAUUUAAAUUAGCAACACAAGUGAAGCUAAUCAAACAUAUGAUGAUUUGAUUGUUGGAAAUAUGCCCUAGAGGCAACAAUAAAUUAGUUAUUAUUAUUAUAUUUCAUUGUUCAUGAUAAUCGUUUAUUAUCCAUGCUACAAUUGUAUUGAUAGGAAACUCAGAUACAUGUGUGGAUACAUAGACAACACCAUGUCCCCAGUAAGCCUCUAGUUGACUAGCUCGUUGAUCAAUAGAUGGUUACGGUUUCCUCACCAUGGACAUUGGAUGUCGUUGAUAACGGGAUCACAUCAUUAGGAGAAUGAUGUGAUGGACAAGACCCAAUCCUAAGCCUAGCACAAAGAUUGUGUAGUUCGUAUGCUAAAGCUUUUCUAAUGUCAAGUAUCAUUUCCUUAGACCAUGAGAUUGUGCAACUCCCGGAUACCGUAGGAGUGCUUUGGGUGUGCCAAACGUCACAACAUAACUGGGUGGCUAUAAAGGUACACUACGGGUAUCUCCGAAAGUGUCUGUUGGGUUGGCACGAACCGAGACUGGGUUUGUCACUCCGUGUAACGGAGAGGUAUCUCUGGGCCCACUCGGUAGGACAUCAUCAUAAUGUGCACAAUGUGACCAAGGAGUUGAUCACGGGAUGAUGUGUUACGGAAUGAGUAAAGAGACUUGCUAGUAACGAGAUUGAACAAGGUAUCGGGAUACCGACGAUCGAAUCUCGGGCAAGUACUAUAUCGCUAGACAAAGGGAAUUGUAUACGGGAUUGAUUGAAUCCUUGACAUCGUGGUUCAUCCGAUGAGAUCAUCAUGGAGCAUGUGGGAGCCAACAUGGGUAUCCAGAUCCUGCUGUUGGUUAUUGACCGAAGAGUUGUCUCGGCCAUGUCUGCAUGACUCCCGAACCCGUAGGAUCUACACACUUAAGGUUCGAUGACGCUAGGGUUAUAGGGAAAGUAUGUAUGCGGUUACCGAAUGUUGUUCGGAGUCCCGGAUGAGAUCCCGGACGUCACGAGAAGUUCCGAAAUGGUCCGGAGGUAAAGAUUGAUAUAUAGGAAGUAUGGUUUUGGCCACCGGAAGUGUUCCGGGCAUCACCGGUAGUGUACCGGGACCACCGGAGGGGUCCGGGGGUCCACCGGGAGGGGCCACGGGCCCCGAAGGCAUACAUGGGCCAAUAGUGGGAAGGCACCAGCCCCUAGGUGGGCUGGGGCGCCUCCCACCAAGGCCCAAGGCGCCUCCAAGAGGGGAGGGGGGCAAACCCUAGGGCAGAUGGGCCCUAAGGCCCACCCCAGGUGCGCCUCCCCCUCUCCCCCUUGUGGCCGCCACCCUAGAUGGGAUCUAGGGCUGCCGCACCCCUUGGGGUGGGAACCCUAGGUGGGGGCGCAGCCCUCCCUCUCCCCCUAUAUAUAGUGGAGGCAAAGGGGCAGCCCAACACACGAUUCGAUCUCCCUGUUGGCGCAGCCCUACCCCUCUCCCUCCUCGUCUCUCGUAGUGCUUGGCGAAGCCCUGCUAGAGUCCCGCGCUCCUCCACCACCACCACGCCGGCGUGCUGCUACUGGACGGAGUCUUCCCCAAUCUCUCCUUCUCCCCUUGCUGGAUCAAGGCGUAGGAGACGUCACGGGGCUGCACGUGUGUUGAACGUGGAGGCGCCGUUGUUCGGCGCUUAGAUCGGAAUCAACCGCGAUCUGAAUCGCUGCGAGUACGACUCCUUCAUCCGCAUUCUUGCAACGCUUCCGCUUAGCGAUCUACAAGGGUAUGUAGAUGCACUCCCCUUCCCCUCGUUGCUAGAUUACUCCAUAGAUUGAUCUUGGUGAUGCGUAGAAAAUUUUAAAUUUCUGCUACGAUCUCCAAUAGUGGCAUCAUGAGCUAGGUCUAUGCGUAGUUUCCAUGCACGAGUAGAACACAAAGCAGUUGUGGGCAUCGAUGUUGUCAAUUUACCUGCCGUUACUAGUCUUAUCUUGAUUCGGCGGCAUCGUGGGAUGAAGCGGCCCAGACCGACCUUACACGUACACUUACGUGAGACUGGUUCCACCGACUGACAUGCACUAGUUGCAUAAGGUGGCUAGUGGGUGUUUGUCUCUCCCACUUUAGUCGGAUCGGAUUCGAUGAAAAGGGUCCUUAUGAAGGGUAAAUAGACUACUUGGGAAAACCCUAUACACAGAACAUUAGCAGUAGCGCGGGAAAAAAACGCACGCUGGUGCUAAUUAGCGGCAACGCGGUAUUUAAAACCGCGCUACAGAUACAGUUAUAGCAGUAGCGCGCCCGAGUACAAAAGCGCUACUACUAAAAUUCCCACGGCUUAGCCGAUAGGCUACACAUAGUAGUAGCGAUCUACGUGGAACCGCGCUACCGCUACUUGUUUUGUAGCAGCGCGUUUACGGACAAAGACGCUACCGCUAAUAAAAAUAAAAUUAAAUGAAAAGAAAAUAAAAAAGAGAAGGAAUAGCAGUAGCGCUUGUUAGGAAACGCGCUAUAGCUACCGUAGCAGCAGUGCACUUCCUGGAAUGCGCUACUGCUACUUUUAACUUAAUUAACUUUGUUCUUCCCCACGGCCACUUCCCCCCAAAUCCCUACUACUCCGCUGUCGCCGCCCUGCAUCAUCGUCGGCCGCCGCGCGCGACCCGUCGCUCUCCGCACACCUUCGACGCCACCCCCGCCCCUGACCGCGACCUCGACGCCGCCCCCGACCCCGACCUCGACACCCCCCCUACAUCGCCGCCCUCCGUCGUGCGCCCGCCGCCCUGACCCCGUCCCCAACCUCGACGCCGCGUGCCCCUCUCCCUAACUCCACCGGCGCCAGAGGUGAGCACGCCCUCCUCCUCNNNNNNNNNNNNNNNNNNNNNNNNNNNNNNNNNNNNNNNNNNNNNNNNNNNNNNNNNNNNNNNNNNNNNNNNNNNNNNNNNNNNNNNNNNNNNNNNNNNNNNNNNNNNNNNNNNNNNNNNNNNNNNNNNNNNNNNNNNNNNNNNNNNNNNNNNNNNNNNNNNNNNNNNNNNNNNNNNNNNNNNNNNNNNNNNNNNNNNNNNNNNNNNNNNNNNNNUCAUAGUAAGUGCUUAAUUGAACUAGUUGAGUUAAUACAACUAUUUUAUUUUUGGUACGAAAAUUAAUAGAACUUGUUUAUUUUUUUAGUUAAAGCAACUAUUUUAUUUUUAGUAAGUAAAUUAAUAAACUAGUUGAACUACUUUAGUUGUAGUUGAACUAGUUUAGUAAGUAAAUUAAUAAACUAGUUGAACUAGUUCAAUUAAUAGAACUAAUGUAUUUUUAGUAAGAUAAUUAAUAUAACUAGUUGAACUACUUUACUUUUAGAAAGAACUAGUUUUUUUUCUAUUUAUAGUAAGUUUAUAUUUAGUAAGAACUAGUUGAAUUAAUAAAACUAGUUGAACAUGUCAUAUUUGCUCAAAUAGGAUAUGUUGUUGCCCAAGUGGAUGUUCAUGUUCAGUUUACACCUCCGAGUGGCCUAUGUUUUGCCGGAGUGUUGAUUAAUUUCCGUUCCGGCAAAUUUCAGGCGCUCGAUAUGUCCUUUUUUAGCAAAGGUCAUGCCAGAUUUUUUCGUGAAUUCUGGCAUGACUUGUGCUAGAAUAUGUAGGAAAUAUCGAGUGGCCUGGAUUUUCUCAAAAAAUAAUGAUCUAAUUUAGGUUUUUAGUACAUAUAUUUAAUUGUACAAGUUUAAUCUUUGAAUUAUGAACGCAGGAAAUGUCGUACUCGGACGACGACAGUCUCCCGGGGGAGUGCAGCUGGUGCCACGACGAUCGAGGUAUGCGCGACAUGUUCGUUGAACUGGACGAAGAUUGGCGCUUCAGCAUUAAGUUCGAGGAGACCUUCGGUGUUGAAACGGUACGCAACAACGACAAGUGUUUUUUUUCAUAAUUAAGCAUGACUUCAACUAUUUUAAUGUCUAAUUUUAUCUUUUACAAUUCGACUAGCUUAUCCCAUGCCAUGCAAGACGCUAUGUCUUGGAGAGGAUGGGUUUUGAAGACCAUGAAAAUUUUCAAACAAAGAAAAUACACCUAAGGACCCAUCAUGAUAUCGAUUUUGAAGUAAAUCUGUACAAUUCUCAGAGCGUAACCUAUUUUGGUUGCCAAAAUUGAGAAGCACUUUGCAAAAUGUAUGGUUUUUAUGAGGGUAUGAUUGUCACCGUGGAUCUUGGUGAUCCUGACAUCAAGCAAAACAAUAUGGACAUUUGGGUCCUUGUUGAUACGCUUUCGAUUCUACCGCAAUGUGAGUUUCUCAAACAUAGUUAUUAACUAAUUUAUAUUGUUUAUUUCAAAAUAGUUGAUAGCUUAUUUCCAUUGACAGCUUAUUUUGAAUCUUCAAAGAAUGUGCAGAAGAUGGUAGACAAAACCCACUACACUGAUGGCUCCGUAUUAACUUAUAAGGAGAAAAAUCAUCUGAUCGCAUUUUGUACUUUCUUUGAGAAUUACAAUACCUAUUAUCGAACUCCUUCAAAUUAUGGUGAAUACGUGCCACUAGUGCACGUGUUGAACCACGAUAACUUCUAUGGAGAUACACUGGUAAGAUUUUUACUAUUACGACAUCCGUUCAUCUUUUGCAUACUUCUAAAACUAGUACAUCAUUGCUAACUACUAAGUUAUUACUAUAUUUUUCAACAGAAAAUCCCGACGGAUUGUGUGCCUCAUCUGAUGUAUUACAAUGGUCGCCUUGAAGUUCUGAACCUACAGCCAGGUCAUCCUACGGAUCUCACCUGUGCAUAUCGGAUUUCUGAAACCGGUGAACACAUGCUAAUCAAAGAGUGGAAAAAAUGUUUGGACAUUCGUAAGGAGGUUCUUGGAAGCAACAUUAAGCGAAAGGCAAGAAUUGGAGACAGGAUAAUAUGCAUUCACCAUAAUGGAGAGCCAGGGGCUAUCUUGUUUUUUGCUAUUUUACCUUAGAGAAUAUAGUAGGUUCUAAGAGAAUGUAGUAGGUCCUAUGAGGUACAAUAGGUUUAUUAUGUGGUACAAUGUGUUAGAGUUGAUGAUGAGGAGUAGUUGUGAUUAUGACUAGUGACCAACUUGCUAUGUGAUGUCUCAUCGAUCAAAACGAUGAUCAUGAGGAGGUGUUAUAUGAAAAUGAUGUAUUAUGAUGAUAAGUUGUUAAUGAUAUGAUGAUGAUAUUUAUUAUAUCAUUGCGUGAAAGAACCGCGGAUUAGUUUUAAGUGGAUGUCCAUCCACUUGAAACUAGUCCAUGGUUCUUUCACCCAAUGAUGUAAUAACUCAUUAUGAUGUAAAAACAAUCUCUAAAUUGCUGUUGUAUGAAAACUUGUAUAGAGGUGUAUGAAUACAAUAUGAAAUAAAAAAGAAAUAAAAUACGGAAUACUAGUAGUAGCGCGGGCUGGGAGAAGCGCUACUAGUAAUUACCAGUAGCGCUCCUCCGGGAAGUCGCUACUACUAAGUCGAUUUAGUAGUAGCGUGGGCGGAGGCACGCUACUGCUAUACGUUAGCUGUAGCGCCUUAUCAGUAGCGCCCCGCCCCGCGCUACUUAUAGGCCUAAAACCCGCGCUGCUGCUAGGCUUUUCCCUAGUAGUGAGAAAUUGGCAUAUCACGUUGUGGUUUUCGCGUAGGUAAGAAACAUUCUUGCUAGAAACCUAUAGCAGCUACGUAAAAACUUGCAACAACAAUUAGAGGACGUCUAACUUGUUUUUGCAGCAUAUGCCAUGUGAUGUGAUAUGGCCAAAAGGAUGUGAUGAAUGAUAUAUAUGUGAUGUAUGAGAUUGAUCAUGUUCUUGUAAUAGGAAUCACGACUUGCAUGUCGAUGAGUAUGACAAUCGGCAGGAGCCAUAGGAGUUGUCUUAAUUUAUUUAUGACCUGCGUGUCAACUUAAACGUCAUGUAAUUACUUUACUUUAUUGCUAAAGUGUUAGCCAUAGUAGUAGAAGUAAUAGAUGAUGAGACAACUUCAAGAAGACACGAUGAUGGAGAUCAUGGUGUCAUGCCGGUGACAACGAUGAUCAUGGAGCCCCGAAGAUGGAGAUCAAAAGGAGCAAAAUGAUAUUGGCCAUAUCAUGUCACUAUUUGAUUGCAUGUGAUGUUUAUCAUGUUUUACAUCUUAUUUGCUUAGAACGACGGUAGCUUAAAUAAGAUGAUCCCUCGCUAAAAUUUCAAGAAAAGUGUUCCCCCUAACUAUGCACCGUUGUGAAGGUUCGUUGUUUCGAAGCACCACGUGAUGAUCGGGUGUGAUAGAUUCUAACGUUCGAAUACAACGGGUGUUGACGAGCCUAGCAUAUACAGACAUGGCCUCGGAACACAUGCGAAACACUUAGGUUGACUUGACGAGCCUAGCAUGUACAGACAUGGCCUCGGAACACGGAAGACCGAAAGGUCGAGCAUGAGUCGUAUAGAAGAUACGAUCAACAUAAAGAUGUUCACCGAUGUUGACUAGUCCGUCUCACGUGAUGAUCGGACACGACCUAGUUGACUUGGAUCAUGUUUCACUUAGAUGACUAGAGGGAUGUCUAUUUGAGUGAGAGUUCAUUAAAUAAUUUGAUUAGAUGAACUUAAUUAUCAUGAACAUAGUCUAAAUUGUAUUUGCAAAUAUAUUGUAGAUAAAUAGCUCACGUUGUAGCUCCCUGUUUCAAUACGUUCCUAGAGAAAGACCAAGUUGAAAGAUAUUGUAAGCAAUGAUGCGGACUGGGUCCGUAGUCCGAGGAGUGUCCUCACUGCUACACAGAAGGCUUACGUCUUUGAUGCACCGCUCGAUGUGCAAACCCCUACAACGUCGUCUGUGGAUGUUGUGAACACCUGACAGACAAAUCCUGAUGACUACUUGAUAGUUUAGUGCACCAUACUUUACGGCUUAGAAUCGGGAUUCCAAUGACGUUUUGAACGCCAUAAGACAUAUGAGAUGUUCCAAGAGCUGAAAUUGGGAUUUCAGGCUCAUGCCUGUGUUGAGAGGUAUGAGACCUCUGACAAGUUCUUUUGCCAACAAGAUAGAGGAGAAUAGCUCAGCUAGUGAGCAUGUGCUCAGAAUGUCUGGGUGCUACAAUCACUUAAAUCAAGUGGGAGUUAAACUUCCAGAUAAGAUAGUGAUUGAUAGAGUUCUCUAGUCACUAUCACUAAGCUACUAGAUCUUCAUGAUGAACUAUGACAUGCAAGGGAUGGAGUUGAUCCCGGAGCUGUUUGCGGUGCUUAAGACCGCAAAAGGUAGAAAUCAAGAAGGAGCAUCAAGUGUUGAUGGUUUAACAAGACCACUGGUUUCAAGAAGGGCAAGGGCCAGAAGGGAAACUUCAUGGAUGACAAACCAGUUGCCGCUCCAGUGAAGAAACCCAAGGUUAAAUCCAAACCCGAGACUAAGUGCUUCUAUUGUAAGGGGAACGGGCACUGGUAGCAGAAUUACCCCAAAUGCAUGGUAGAUAAGAAGGCUGGCAACUUCAACAAAGUAUAUACGUGUUAUUAAUGAGUACCUCACUAGUACUCCUGGUAGCACCUGGGUAUUGGAUACCGGUUCAGUUUCUAUUAUUGGUGACUUGAAGCAAAAGCUACGAACUAAACGGAGACUGGCUAAGGGCGAGGUGACGAUGUGUGUUGGAAGUGUUUCCAAAGUUGAUGAGAUCACCAUCGCACACUACAUCUGCCUUCGGGAUUAGUAUUGAACCUAGAUAAAUGUUAUCAGGUGUCUACGUUGAGCAUGAAUAUGAUUAGAUCAUGUUCAUUGCAAUACGGUUAUUCAUUUAAGUUAGAGAAUAAUGGUUAUUCUGUUUACAUGAAUAAUACCUUUCAUGGUCAUGCACCCUAUGUGAAUGGUUCAUUGAAUCUCGGUCGUGGUAAUACACAUGUUCACGCCAAAAGAUGUAGAGUUAAUAAUGAUAGUACCACUUUCUUGUGGCACUGCCGCUUAGGUCAUAUUGGCGUAAGAUGCAUGAAGAAACUCCAUGUCGUUGGAUGUUUGGAGUCACCUGAUUUUGAAUCGCUUAACACAUGCGAGCCAUGCCUCAUGGGCAGGAUGACUAAGACCCCAUUUUCAGGUAAAAUAAAACGGGCAAGUGACUUGUUGGAAAUUAUACAUGCUGAUGCGUGUGAUCCAAUGAGAAUUGAAGCGUGCAGUGGAUAUUGCUAUUUUCUCAUCUUCACUGACGAUUUGAGUAGAUAUAGGUAUAUUUACUUAAUGAAGCACAAGUCUGAAACGUUUGAAAAGUUCAAGCGAUUUCAGAGUGAAGUUAAGAAUCAUCAUAACAAGAAGAUCAUGUUCCUACGAUCUGAUCAAAAGGGGAUUUUCUGAGUUAUGAGUUUGGCAAUCACUUAAGACAUUGUGGAAUUGUUUCACAGUUGAAGCCACCUGGAACACCACAGCGUAAUGGUGUGUCCGGACGUCAUAAUCGAACCUUAUGAUAUGGUGCGAUCUAUGAUGUCUCUUACCGAUCUACCGUUUUCAUUUUGAGGUUAUGCAUUAGAGACAGCUGCAUUCACUUUAGAUAGGACACCAUCUAAGUCCGUUGAGACGACGUCGUAAGAAUAUGGUUUGGCAAGAAACCAAAGUUGUCGUUUCUUAAUGUUUGGGGCUGCGAUGCUUAAGGCUUCAGCCGAAGAAGCUCGAACCAAAGCGAACAAACACAUCUUCAUAGGAUACCCAAAGGUGACAGUUGGGUAUACCUUCUAUCUCAGAUCCGAGGGCAAAUUGUUUGUCGCUAAGAACGGGUCCUUUCUCGAGAAGGAGUUUCUCUCGAAAGAAUUGAGUGGGAGGAAGAUAGAACUUGAUGAGGUUGUCGAACCUUUACUUCAACCAGAGAGUGAUGCAACACAGAAAGAUGUUUUCUGUGGCACCUACGUCUGUUGAAUAGGAAGUUAAUGAUGGUGAUCAUGAAGCUUCAGAUCAAGUUGCUAUCGAACCUCGUAGGUCGACAAGGCACUAGUAGAAAAGGGUCAAACGUGAAGCACAUUAGUGCCGGUUUGAAUUUGAGCCGGCACUAAUGUGUACAUUAGUGCCGGUUCCAACGGCUAGCCGGGCCGCUCUCAUUAGUACCGGUUCGUGGCGAACCUUUAGCACCGGUUCGUGCCACGAACCGGUACUAAAGUGAGUGGUGGCAGGAUGUUGUCAGUCCGGGGCCCCUCCAGCACCUUUACUACCGGGCCGUAUCACGAACCGGUACUAAAGGUCGUCCUACAUAGACCCUUCGUCCACCCGAGCUCGCUCUGUUAUUCCCCUUUCCCCUCUCCUCUCUUUUCUUUUCCCUCUUCCUCUCAAGCUCAUCACACAUUUUGCCCAAAAUUUGUCAAGAUUUGAAGGCCUCCAUCCAUUCAAAUGAUCACAAAGGUUAGCAACUUUUUCCUUUCAUCUCUCAUUGCUAGAUUAGCUCGUGCAAUGCUUUAUAUAGUGAUUGAUUUUUGAGUUUAGUAAUUUGGGAGGAAUUAUAUAUAUGUGCUAGUAUUUGAUUUAUAUGCAAUUUGAUGUCAAAAAUAACACUUAGUUUGCAUAUGUAGGUGUGGUUUACUUAGUACCUUCUAAAUCUCCGUCGUAACCACCGUCGAUCGCUCGCAACGUCCCGUCGCCGGCACCACCUUGUGGUGAGCCUCUUGUUCAUGAAGUUUUAUAUAAAAAAUCGAUGUUUGUGUGAUUUGGAUAUAUAGUUACUCGUAUAAUUAUAUUACCCAUAUGUUGUUUGUUAUACAUAGUGCCAUGGUUUUGAUAUCCGUCCCCGUCGGCCCUCGUCCGGGUUAUGAUUCGGAUGUGGUAUAUUCUUUUUUAAAACUAUUCAUUGCAUUUCGUGUUUAUGACAAAUUAUGCCCAUCAACUUGACAUAGAUAUUUGUAUGUAAUAGGUAGUUGAACUGGAAAUUCCAACCGACCCUAUUGUCGAGAGGUUAAAUUUAGUUGAAAGAGAAAACGGGGAUUUGAAGGAAAAAUUGAAAAGAAUUGAGGGGGAGAACAUGGAAUUGGAGUUGCAUGUUGCCGAUGUCGUCGAUGAUCACAAGAUUAAGAUGGAGAAAAUGCGCUUGAAGAUUAGAAAGAUUAGAAAAUAUGCCAUUCAUAGUGAGGCUUGGUAUCAUUAUGCUGUUGGAUCAAUUGUUACCUUAGUUGCGAUCUUGAUCACAUUUGUUGUUGCAUUUAAAUUAUUUAGCUAGAUAGUUAUUUGUUUGUUGCAUUUAAGUAUUGUAUGAUCUUUAUGUAUGAACUUUAUGUAUUAUAUUAAUUUGAUGUUUUCGGUGAUGUGUAUUGAAGAUGAUCCGGCAAUGGAUGUACGAUGACCGAUGCUCUCCCGAGUUCAUUAAUGGCAUGCGUACUUUUCUGCUUGCGGCUGAGGCAAACAAGCGAGCGGAUGGUUUUAUGCCUUGUCCAUGUGCUGGCUGUAAGAAUGGUCACAAUUACUCUACGUCAAGAACUAUUCACGUCCACGUGUUUGAGUCCGGUUUCAUGCCCCACUAUAAUGUUUGGACCAAGCAUGGAGAAAGAGGGGUUAUGAUGGAAGACAAUGAAGAAGAAGAGGACGACGACAACUAUUCUGGCCAUGGGUUCCCUGAAUACAAUGAUACAACAAUGAGGGAAGAAGCUGAGCCGGUAAUGCGAGAAGAAGCUGAGCCGACAAUGCGGGAAGAAGCUAAAGAAGAGGCAUCGGAUGAGCCCGUUGAUGAUCUAGGUCGGGCCAUUGCUGAUGCAAAGAGAAACUGCGCACGUGAUUUGGAGAAGAAGAAGUUGCAGCGCAUGUUAGAGGAUCACAAAAAAUUGUUGUACCCGAAUUGCGUAGGUGACAAGAAAAAGCUGAGCACCACACUGGAAUUGCAGCAAUGGAAGGCAGAGAAUGGUGUAUCUGACAAGGGAUUUGGAAAGUUGCUGGUAAUGAUAAAGGAUAUGCUUCCAAAGGACAACGAAUUGCCCGAGAGUACGUACGAAGCAAAGAAGGCUGUCUGUCCUCUAGGGUUAGAGGUGCAGAAGAUACAUGCAUGCUCUAAUGAUUGCAUCCUCUACCACGGUGGGUACAAGGAUUUGAACACUUGCCCGGUAUGUGGUGCAUUGUGCUAUAAGAUCAACCGCGAUGACCCUGGUGAUGUCGAGGGCGAGCGCCCCAGGAAGAAGAGUACUGCCAAGGUGAUGUGGUAUGCUCCUAUAAUACCACGGUUGAAACGUUUGUUCCAAAACAAAGAGCAUGCCAAGGCGAUGCGAUGGCACAGAGAAGACAGUAAGAAAGACGGAAAGUUGAGAGUACCCGCUGACGGGUCGCAGUGGAGAAAAAUCGCAAGAAAGUACGGGAAGGAGUUUGCAGAUGACGCAAGGAACAUAUGGUUUGGUCUAAGCGCAGAUGGCAUUAAUCCUUUUGGGGAGCAGAGCAGCAACCAUAGCACCUGGCCUGUGACUCUAUGUUUGUAUAACCUUCCUCCUUGGUUGUGCAUGAAGCGGAAGUUCAUCAUGAUGCCAGUGCUCAUCCAAGGCCCUAAGCAACCCGACAAUGACAUUGAUGUGUACCUAAGGCCAUUAGUUGAAGAACUCUUACAACCGUGGAAUGGAACAGGUGUACGUGCGUGGGAUGAGCACAUGGGGGAAGAAUUUGACCUAAAGGCGUUGCUGUUCGUGACCAUCAAUGAUUGGCCUGCUCUCAGUAACCUUUCAGGACAGACAAACAAGGGAUACCGCGCAUGCACGCACUGUUUGGACGAUACCGACAUUAUAUAUUUGGCUAAUUGUAAGAAGAAUGUGUACCUGGGACAUCGUCGAUUUCUUCCAAGCAGGCAUCCCGUAAGAAAGAAAGGCAAGCAUUUCAAAGGUGAGGCGGAUCACCGGACGAAGCCUCGCCACCGUACUGGUGCUGAUGUACAUGAUAUGGUCAAGGAUUUGAAGGUGGACUUUGGAAAGGGUCCUGGUGGACAACCUGUUCCGAAUGACGCUGACGGACGCGCACCCAUGUGGAAGAAGAAAUCUAUAUUUUGGGACCUGCCCUAUUGGAAAGACCUAGAGGUCCGCUCCGCAAUUGACGUGAUGCACGUGACGAAGAAUCUUUGUGUGACCCUGCUUGGCUUCUUGGGCAUGUAUGGGAAGACAAAAGAUACACCUGAGGCACGGGAGGACCAGCAACAUAUGCACGGAAAAGACGGCAUACAUCAGGGUCAUGCAAGCUACGCUCUUACCAAAGAAGAGAAGGAAAUCUUCUUUGAACGCCUGCUCAGUAUUAAGGUACCGUCUGGCUUCUCGUCGAAUAUAAAGGGAAUAAUAAACAUGGCAGAGAAAAAGUUCCAGAACCUAAAGUCUCAUGACUGCCACGUGAUUAUGACGCAACUGCUUCCGGUUGCAUUGAGGGGGCUUCUACCGGAAAAUGUUCGAUUAGCCAUUGUGAAGCUAUGUGCAUUUUUCAAUGCAAUCUCUCAGAAGGUAAUCGAUCCAGAAAUCAUACCAAGGUUAGAGAAUGAUUUGGUGCAAUGUCUUGUCAGUUUCGAGUUGGUGUUCCCACCAUCCUUCUUCAACAUCAUGACGCACGUCCUAGUUCACCUAUGCGAAGAUAUUAACAUUUUGGGUCCUGUAUUUCUACACAAUAUGUUCCCCUUUGAGAGGUUCAUGGGAGUCUUAAAGAAAUAUGUUCAUAACCGUGCUAGGCCAAAAGGAAGCAUCUCCAAGGGCCAUGAAAAUGAGGAGGUCAUUGAGUUUUGUAUUGACUUUAUUCCUGACCUUAAGCCGAUUGGUGUUCCUGAAUCGCGGCAUAAGGGCAGACUGGAUGGAAAAGGUAUGCUAGGAGGGGAACAAAUAAUAUGUAUGGACGGACAUUCUCUCACUGAAGCACACUACACAGUUCUACAGAAUUUCGCCUUGGUGGCUCCAUAUAUGGAUGAACACAAGAAUUUGCUACGCUCCAAACACCCGGAGCCGUCUGAUGACUGGAUUACACGUGAACAAACCAGGAGUUUCGCCAGCUGGUUGCAGACACGUACCAUGCAUGACACCUCUAUUGAAGAUGACAUGUACUUGCUGUCCUAGUUACCAUCUUCGAAUAUAAUGACUUUCAAAGGGUACGAGAUAAAUGGUAAUACAUUUUACACGAUCGCCCAAGAUAAGAAGAGCACCAACCAAAACAGUGGUGUCCGCUUUGAUGCAGAAACCAAGACGGUAAAGGAAACAUAUUAUGGUUAUAUACAGGACAUAUGGGAACUUGACUAUCGACAUGGUUUGAAGGUCCCUUUGUUUCGGUGCAAAUGGGUCAAUAUGACACGAGGCGGGGUAACGGAAGACCCGCAGUACGGAAUGACAACAGUGGAUCUCAACAAUCUUGCGUAUGCAGAUGAACCAUUCGUCCUAGCCAAUGAUGUGGCACAGGUUUUCUAUGUGAAGGACAUGUCUACCAAGCCAAGAAAAAGAAAAGAUAAGGAAGCGAGUGCAUCGUACGAUGAGCCAAAGCGGCACAUAGUUCUUUCUGGGAAGAGAAAUAUCGUGGGAGUGGAUGAUGUAACACCCCGGAUGUAAUUUACCUUAUAUGUUCUCCAACUCUUGCCGUUUCCGACGCUAAGUUAUUUUAUUUCCUCGGGUUCGGGUUUUUUGUCUCCGUGUGUUGUUGUCGUUGUCAUGCAUCUCAUAUCAUGUCAUCAUGUGCAUUGCAUCUGCAUACGUGUUCGUCUCAUGCAUCUGAGCAUUUUCCCCGUUGUCCGUUUUGCAUUCCGGCGCUCCUAUUUCCUCCAGUGGUCCUUUCUACCUUCUUUUCGUGUGCGGGGGUUAAAUAUUUCCGGAUUGGACCGAGACUUGCCAAGCGGCCUUGGUUUACUACCGGUAGACCGUCUGUCAAGUUUCAUACCAUUUGGACUUCGUUUAAUACUCCAACGGUUAACCGAGGGACUGAGAAGGCCUCGUGUGUGUUGCAGCCCAACACCCCUCCAAUUUGGCCCAAAACCCACCAAAACCCUCUCCAUCAUCUAGAGUGUUCGAUCACGAUAGCGUGGCCGUAAACCGCACCUCAUUUGGACUCUCCUAGCUCCUCCUAUGCCUAUAUAUAGACCCCCUCCGAAAUUCCCGGAUCUCCUCUACCCCAAAACCCUACCUUCCCCUCUCCGGGCCGGACGUGUCCGUCCGCCGCCGGACACGCCGCGCCNNNNNNNNNNNNNNNNNNNNNNNNNNNNNNNNNNNNNNNNNNNNNNNNNNNNNNNNNNNNNNNNNNNNNNNNNNNNNNNNNNNNNNNNNNNNNNNNNNNNNNNNNNNNNNNNNNNNNNNNNNNNNNNNNNNNNNNNNNNNNNNNNNNNNNNNNNNNNNNNNNNNNNNNNNNNNNNNNNNNNNNNNNNNNNNNNNNNNNNNNNNNNNNNNNNNNNNNNNNNNNNNNNNNNNNNNNNNNNNNNNNNNNNNNNNNNNNNNNNNNNNNNNNNNNNNNNNNNNNNNNNNNNNNNNNNNNNNNNNNNNNNNNNNNNNNNNNNNNNNNNNNNNNNNNNNNNNNNNNNNNNNNNNNNNNNNNNNNNNNNNNNNNNNNNNNNNNNNNNNNNNNNNNNNNNNNNNNNNNNNNNNNNNNNNNNNNNNNNNNNNNNNNNNNNNNNNNNNNNNCUCCCCGCGCCCAGCGCUCCUCCGCCCGAGACGCGCCGCCCGCCCUCCGCGCCGCGCCCUCCACGCCGGCUCGCCGCACCACCGCGUGGCCCGUCUCCGCCGGGCUUCUUCAACCUCGCCGGCGCUGCCCCGUCGUCCUCUCCGGCCUCCCUCGUCGUCCGGCAAACCGCCGGCCUCCUCCACGCAAGUCCGGCGACGUUCGCAGCUACUCCGGCGAACCCCCCUACUGUUCCGAUGACCUUGGUUCCCGUGCACGAUCUGGAUCCAUAUGUGGAUCUGAGGUUGACCCAAUCUUGCCCAAAACCCUAUUAUUUUGCGUUUUUCAUCAUGCUAUAACUCCGCAUCCGUAGCUAUGUUUUGGGCGUGUAGCAUAUCAAAAUGUUCGUCUCAGAGAGUACAUCAUUUCAUCUCAUUGCAUCAUUUUCAUUUGAGCUCAUCUUGAUGCCCGAAAUGCUGUUGGAAGAGAGCUAUUUGAGUUAAUUGUCAGAUCUGCUGCACCAAAUAGCUAUUUGUCAUUUUUGCCAUGAUUAAUGUGUGCAUGAUAUGAUCCUGAGCUCUACAUGAGUUUUGUUAUAUGCUUUGCCAUCUUUACAUAGGUGCUUACCAUGUAUUUUUGUGACAUGUGUGGUGACUAGCACAAGCUUGCAAAGUAGUGCAUUCGUUAAUGCUGAUUUCAGGGACUUAGAAAUUUCAGUCCUUGAUCUGUUUUUAUCAAUAUGCCAUAUGUUCAUGUUGUUUCCUAGUGAUCCGUACCUCUUUUGAGGAUGAUCAGUAAGGAUGAUUUAUUAUUAUUGUGAUGCUCUAUCCAUCCAUGUUUUUGUUUGCAAUUAUGGAGCAACCUAGCUUGAGUCAAUCGAGCUCUACUUUUGCUAUUUCGUAAUUCCUGGCAGAUUGUCUACUUGUUAGAGAUUUUGUCGAGGAUGUUGUUGUUGAUCCGUGCAUGCUAUGUUGUUUUUCUUGUCAUGUCUAGCUUAUAUAACAUGUAUUAUUGAUGGGUGUAUGCUUAGUUUUCCAUGCUCUGUAGUGAGUGCAUCGAGCUCGUGAACAUGCCUACUUGUUAACAUAUUUGCAUGCUCCAGUUUUUCACUAAGUCUGUAACCUGAUUAUGUUUUUGCCAUGUUCACAUGCUUGCAAUUGUAUUUUAUGAUCCCUUUUGGCUCAAGGUCACUAAGGGACUUUUGUUAAGAUCUUUGAGUAGCUCCAUGCCAUGCCUUGCUUUGCCAUGUUAAGUUCCUGUAGCAUAUAGUUUUCAUGCUUCAAAGUCUGCUACCUGAUCUGAAAUUCCAGGCUUGUGUUAAUUUCACUAAGUCUGAAACCUGUUUAUCAUUUGCACUUUUGCCAUGCUUGUUUGAACCUGUUAUUGGAUGAAUUGACCGUAGCUCAGUGUUCAUCUUUUGUCAAGCAUCAUGAGUGGAUCCCUGCCAUGUAUUUUGUUGUCAUGUUUGAGUGCUGCAGCAUAAUUUUCUUGAUGUAUUUAGAUGGCUAUUUGCUGUUUAUCGCAGACCGGUGCCAUAUUUGUUUUGCUUGCCAUUUCCAAACCGUGCAUCCGAUUCCGGUGUUCUUUAUAUCGAUUUAAACCGAAAUCACCUCACCUUUCCAGUAGCACUUUUGGAUUUCCAUGUUGAGGCCAGGUUCAAUCAUUCCUUGUCAAAUCUUGCAUAUGCAUCACAUAUCGCAUCCCGCAUAGCAUACCAUGGUUGCAUCAUGUUGUUUGAGCUUUGCACGUGGUUGAUUGUGUUCCUUUUGCUUGUUUGUCUUGUUUGGGUAGAGCCGGGAGACGAGUUCAUUAACGAGGAGCCCGUUGAGUUUGCUUCCGAGGAUCUAGUCAACUCUGACCACUUUGCAGGCAAGAUGAUCAUACCCUCGUAAUCACUUCUAUCUUUGCUUUGCUAGAUGCUCGCUCUUUUGCUAUGCCUAUGCUACGAUGCCUACCACUUGCUUAUCAUGCCUCCCAAAUUUCCAUGUCAAACCUCUAACCCACCAUGUCCUAGCAAACCGUUGAUUGGCUAUGUUACUGCUUUGCUCAGCCCCUCUUAUAGCGUUGCUAGUUGCAGGUGAAGAUUGGGGAUCGUUCCUUGUUGGAACAUUGUUUAUUAUUGGGAUACCAUUAAAUAAUCUUGUUAUCUUAAUGCAUCUAUAUACUUGGUAAAGGGUGGAAGGCUCGGCCUUUGCCUAGUGUUUUGUUCCACUCUUGCCGCCCUAGUUUCCGUCAUAUCGGUGUUAUGUUCCUGGAUUUUGCGUUCCUUACGCGGUUGGGUGAUAAUGGGAACCCCUUGACAGUUCGCCUUGAAUAAAACUCCUCCAGCAAUGCCCAACCUUGGUUUUACCAUUUGCCACCUAGCCUUUUUCCCUUGGGUCUCACGGACUCAAGGGUCAUCUUUGUUUUAAACCCCCGGGCCAGUGCUUCUCUAAGCGUUGGUCCAACCCAGAGCACCGUGCGAGGCCGUCCCUUGGAAACUUGGGUUACGUUGGCUCCCGUAUGCUUAGCUUAUCCGGUGUGCCCUGAGAACGAGAUAUGUGCAGCUCCUAUCGGGAUUUGUCAGCACAUUCGGGCGGUGUUGCUGGACUUGUUUUACCAUUGUCGAAGUUGUCUUGUAGAACCGGGAUGCCGAGUCUGAUCGGAAUGUCUCGGGAGAAGGUUUAUCCUUCGUUGACCGUGAGAGCUUGUGAUGGGCUAAGUUGGGACUCCCCUGCAGGGAUUUGAACUUUCAAAAGCCGUGCCCACGGUUAUGGGCAGAUGGGAAUUUGUUAAUGUCCGGUUGUAGAUAACUUGAACCUUAACUUAAUUAAAAUGAAUCAACUGCGUGUUGUUACCGUGAUGGUCUCUUCUCGGCGGAGUCCGGGAAGUGAACACGGUGUUGGAGUAAUGUUUGCCGUAGGUUGUUCUAUAGUUAUUCGUUCGUGCUUUGCUUUCUCUUCUCGCUCUCUUUUGCGAACAGGUUAGCCACCAUAUAUGCUAGUCGCUUGCUGCAGCUCCACAUAUUAUCUUGCCAUACCUAUAAGCUUAAAUAGUCUUGAUCGCGAGGGUGCGAGAUUGCUGAGUCCCCGUGACUCACAGAUUACUUCCAAACCAGAUGCAGGGCCCGAUGACUCCGUUCCAGAUGAUGCGCUUGAGCUCAAGUGGGAGUUCGACGAAGACUCACGUCGUUACUAUGUGUCUUUCCCUGAUGAUCAGUAGUGGUGCCCAGUUGGGGCGAUCGGGACCAUGUCGCUUGUUGGGGUUGAUCUUUUAUUUUGGUACCGUAGUCGGACCAUGAGUGAUUGGAUGAUGUAAUGCUACUUAUGUACUUUGUGUGACGUGGCAAGUGUAAGCCAACUAUGUACCUUUCCCCUUAUUAUCUAUUUACAUGGGUUGUUGUGAAGAUUACCUUACUUGCAACAUUGCUUUCAAUGCGGUUAUGCCUCUAAGUCGUGCUUCGACACGUAGGAGAUAUAGCCGCAUCGAGGGCGUUACAGAUGACAAGACAGACAUGUCAUAACAUUAUGAAAAGUUUGAUGAAAUUGCUCCAUUCACAGUGAAUAUUGACCCGAGCAUCCCGUUAAAUGAUGAAGAUUUUCCAUGGUUACGGCGCAAAGGGACACACGCGAAGAAAAAGUUUCACACCCAAAGAUCUGGGAUGUGAUCGGCUUCACUAUCAUCACUUUCUUCUGUGUUUCACACCCAGGAGGGAAUCUCUAUAAUAGUUAGGGUAGUUAUGUGUUUUGGCAUUUGAAACGCGAAGAAAUUUUAUGUGCAAACAAAUUCUUUCAUGCCUUUACUGAUUUUUAAAGUUAAGUUAUUCACAAACUAGUGAUUCACACUAAUUUCAAAUAAUUCAAAAUUUAAACUAUUCAAAUUUGAAAACUACAGGCACUAACAGAAAGUUUGUAACUUUUUGUACCUAAAGCAAAAAUAUUCACAAAGAAACUCUAAAUACACAAAAAAACAACUCAAAAAUAAAUAAAGCAAAAAAAUGAAAAAGCCCGCCUACUGGGCGAGAGCGGCCUGCAUACGACUAGAAACCCAACCUGUUGUUGGGCCAGGAUGCGGGCCCGCAAAGGCCCAGUAGGCCCAUAGGGAAGCACAGAACAUGUAGGCCCAGUAGGCCUGCUUUGGAGAGGAGCUCGAGAGAGCUAUCGCACGGGGGGUUAUAAACCAGUGCGGACGCCCCUCAGCUAGCGAGGUAGGACUAAACUUGCUGCACCGCACCUGCGCCAGCGCACCCCCUUUAGUGCCGGGUGGUGGCACCAACCGGUACUAAAGGGGAGGCCUUUAGUACCGGUUGGAGCCACCACCCGGUACUAAAGGGGGUGCGCUUUCCGCCGCUUGGCCUGGCCAAAACAGGCCUUUAGUACCGGUUGGUGGCUCCAACCGGUACUAAAGGUCCAUCCUAUAUAACUAAACACUUCAAAAAAUUUAGUUUCUCAUCUGCUUCUUCUCCUCUGCCCCGUCGUCCGCCGCCCCCGUCUCCAUAUCCCUCGUCGCCGCCCCCGUCGCUGCCCCGUCCCCGUCGUCNNNNNNNNNNNNNNNNNNNNNNNNNNNNNNNNNNNNNNNNNNNNNNNNNNNNNNNNNNNNNNNNNNNNNNNNNNNNNNNNNNNNNNNNNNNNNNNNNNNNNNNNNNNNNNNNNNNNNNNNNNNNNNNNNNNNNNNNNNNNNNNNNNNNNNNNNNNNNNNNNNNNNNNNNNNNNNNNNNNNNNNNNNNNNNNNNNNNNNNNNNNNNNNNNNNNNNNNNNNNNNNNNNNNNNNNNNNNNNNNNNNNNNNNNNNNNNNNNNNNNNNNNNNNNNNNNNNNNNNNNNNNNNNNNNNNNNNNNNNNNNNNNNNNNNNNNNNNNNNNNNNNNNNNNNNNNNNNNNNNNNNNNNNNNNNNNNNNNNNNNNNNNNNNNNNNNNNNNNNNNNNNNNNNNNNNNNNNNNNNNNNNNNNNNNNNNNNNNNNNNNNNNNNNNNNNNNNNNNNNNNNNNNNNNNNNNNNNNNNNNNNNNNNNNNNNNNNNNNNNNNNNNNNNNNNNNNNNNNNNNNNNNNNNNNNNNNNNNNNNNNNNNNNNNNNNNNNNNNNNNNNNNNNNNNNNNNNNNNNNNNNNNNNNNNNNNNNNNNNNNNNNNNNNNNNNNNNNNNNNNNNNNNNNNNNNNNNNNNNNNNNNNNNNNNNNNNNNAAAUGUUAGUUAUAUAGCAUUGUUAGAAAUGUUAUAGGAAUGUUAGUUAUAUAGAAAUGUUAGAAAUUUUAGUUAUCAAAAUCCAAUCAUUAAAAAAAUGUUACUUUUUGCGGGCAUAUAGCUAGUAUUUGUUCUCGACGAUGACCGGCCCGCAUCCUCGCCGUCGACCCGUCCGCGACGACGUCCGGCUGACCCAUGUCCGGGACUGGGCUCCGCCGGGCUGGCACUGGGAGGUGCUGCAUGGAGGGGCGCGCCGCUUGAUGAGGAACCCGGCCCGGGUCCCGUCGUCGACCCUGAUCUCGUUUUGUGGCGUUCGCGUGGGCCAGUUUCGGUGUGGAGGGAGCCGGCCCCGCCUGAGGUGGUACGUCUCCGUGUCAGGGAGGAGGACGAGCACGUCUAUCGCUACAUGGUUGCGUUAGAGGGCGGCAUGUUCUCCAAUACCUGGCAGUUUCUUCAGGGAUCUCACUUCAGCUAUGAUCCUGUGAGGGUUCCUUCUCUUUGGGUGUCCACCGCCCGCGCCGCAUGAACCGCGAGUGUCCUAGAUUCUUCUGUAGUAUUCGAUCUUUAUUAGCUACCUAGCCAGUGAUGUAUUCGAUAUAUAAAUUCGAGACGAUGUAUUCAAGAUUAUAUAUUAUUCGAGACGAUGUAUUCGAGAUUAUAUCUAUUAUUCGAGACGAUGUAUUCGACAUUAUAUCUAUUAUUCGAGACGAUGUAUUCGAGAUUAUAUCUAUUAUUCAAGACGAUGUAUUCGAGAUUAUAUCUACUAUUCGAGACGAUGUAUUCGAGAUUAUAUCUAUUAUUCGAGAUGACGUAUUCGAGAUUAUAUUCGAUGAUGAUUAUUAUGUACUAUGAUUGAUUCAGUUUUUCCUUAUUAAUUGAUUGCAUCCAUGCAUUUUAAUUUGAAUAUAUUUCUUUUGGAUUAGUUAAACAAAACCUAUGGCAGACAAUACCGGCAAAGAGGGAGAAGAGGCCCUGUUCAAUAUCAUACGCAAUCCUCGCGGGCCAGAUGAUGAUCAGAAUGAAGAAGAUUAUGACGGCUCCGAAUAUCUAAACAACACCGGGGAGGGUGACAUGAUAUUCGAUUGCGACGACUGAAUUGAUGAAGUCAUGAACUAUGAACAUGACGAAGAAAAUGUUGAUCUUGAAACAACAAAGACCGGCGAGGUAUAUAUAUUUAUAUAAGCAGGCAUCUAGUGAUCAUCACAUGUUUUAAAUGACUUGAAGAUAUAUUAACGAAUCGAUCUUUCUUCUUUCAGCCAUCCGUAUCGAGCAAAUCUUCAGGCAACAGGACGAAACAAGGCCCGAACAAAAAGUUGAAGGAGGGCGUAAAGUACAAUAUCGAGGCAAUCAGACCUAAUGGCGAACCAUUAGCGCCUAAGAAGAUUGCGGACAAGUUCAUUCGUCAGUGCAGAGUUCUUGUGAAGGACCAACUCCCAAUCUCCCUUCAAGAAUGGAGAGAGCCAGCAAAGCCACGUCCAGGAGUUACUUUUGUCGACGACAAACAAAAACAUUUGCUUUGGGAAACGCUCAUGGAACAUUUCACCCUACCAAAUCAUUUCACAGAUGCAGAUGUGGAGAAAGUCAAGGACGCUGCUCUUAGGAAGAUGGCGGUUGCAUUCAAGAACCACAAGAUUCGUGAAUGGGCCAAGUACGUCAACGGAGGAAGGAAGACUCCAGUAUUCGAGGGAACACUAGAGAACCAAAGUGCUCAUUGGGACGAUUUCGUGAAAUUCAAGGAUUCGAAAUUAUCUAAGGAACGGUCGAGAAUAAACAAGGCCAAUGCCGCAAAAAAGGAUAAGUUCCAUAAGCUGGGGCCAGGUGGCUAUGCGGUGGGAAUGCCUAAGUGGGAUAAGUCUGAGAAAGAGAUGCUGGAUGCAGGUGUCACUCCAGAAACAUUGAGCUGGCCCCCCAGGUGCAGGACUUGGUUCUAUGCGCAUGGGGGGGAGUUGGACCCGAAGACAGGCAAAGUUUCGAAGAAGGCAUGUGUGGACGGAGCCGAAGAUAAGCUACUUGUUGCAAUAGAAGAGGCUCAAUCGGGGUUGUUCGAGCCCAACAGAGAGAACGACGAGCUUACGCGUGCCCUGGGAAAUCCUGAACACCCGGGAAGAACACGAGGCAUGGGCGCUAUUCCGUGGUAUGAGGGGUUUUCAGACUGGAAUGCCGACUACAGAACCAGUGAGAGAAAGAAGAUUGCGGAGGAGAAGAAGAGGAAGAUGGAGGAGGAGCAGAGGAAGCUAGACUAUGAACGCCUUCAAGGCCUAGAAUCAGUGCAUGCGGACUUGGCAGUCAAAUUCCAGCGGUAGCAGGAGCAGAUCGACUCACUUAGCCAGCAAAGGGGGUCUUAGCAGCUAGCGGAUGAUCCACCAUUGGAUAGCACCGUCCCAUCCAUGCCGAGAAGCAACGUUGGUUCCGCCCCGGGCGACGCAUUGCUGGAUAGCUACCCAGUGGAUGACAUCCUGGAGAACACUAACUGCGAGCUACACUUCAAAAUGAAGAACAUAUCCAUGAAGGUGGCGGACGCCCUUGCUUUUACAAAUCCCCCUGAGGCAACCUUCCAUUGCAACCCGAUUCCAGCGGGCUAUGCUCGUGUCUUGGUUGAUGAGGUGGUGGACCAAUAUUCGGGGCUAGAGCUUGACAUUCCUGGAGGUGACGUGAGCACACACUAGGAGAGGCCAACCAUCGUAUCAUCCUAUGGAGAAAGGAUUGCAUCAUCUUUCGAAGGCCACCGACACUGCGUCAUCCGACUCCUCGUCGCAGUCCACCACCGAGUCAGCAGACUCUCGCUCCUCCAAGUCCACCAAUGCGUCAGGCCACUUCUCCUCCAAGUCCGGCACAGCUUCAGUCCACUCCUCCUUCUCCAAGUCCGGAAAAGCAUCAGGCCACUCCUCCUGCAAGUCCGGCAUAGCUUCAGGCCACUCCUCCUCCAAGUCCGACACAGUUUCAGGCCACUCCUCCUCCUCCAACUCAGCCACGUCAGCCGUCUUCGCCGCCUCAGCAAUCACGGAAGAGAGCCGCCUCAGCUAUGGUGCGUAGCGGUACAAGUCGAGGUAGUACUGGAGGUAUAGGCGGAAGCAAGCGAUUUCAAUAUGGUCCAAGCCUCGCGCCUCUUCCGCAGAAGCCUUACGACAAGUCCGAGGAGGAAAACAUAGCCAUAUUGAAGGCCGAGGUGGAAGCCCAUUUUGCAUCAAAACCGCCACCAUCGCCAAGGGAGAAAGUGCCUGUGGAAAAGAUUGACCACUUCAUUCGUAUGGCUAGAGCACCAACUCCCAAGCCUGUUGACACAGACUAUGAGCGCCACAUCAAGAAGUUAAAUCGAGCACGUCUACAGAAAGAGGCGAGCUCGAGCUCGAGCAAAUCAGCUGGAAAAAGGAGCGGUAAAACCGAUCCCCAUCNNNNNNNNNNNNNNNNNNNNNNNNNNNNNNNNNNNNNNNNNNNNNNNNNNNNNNNNNNNNNNNNNNNNNNNNNNNNNNNNNNNNNNNNNNNNNNNNNNNNNNNNNNNNNNNNNNNNNNNNNNNNNNNNNNNNNNNNNNNNNNNNNNNNNNNNNNNNNNNNNNNNNNNNNNNNNNNNNNNNNNNNNNNNNNNNNNNNNNNNNNNNNNNNNNNNNNNNNNNNNNNNNNNNNNNNNNNNNNNNNNNNNNNNNNNNNNNNNNNNNNNNNNNNNNNNNNNNNNNNNNNNNNNNNNNNNNNNNNNNNNNNNNNNNNNNNNNNNNNNNNNNNNNAGGCUGAAUCGAUCGGGAUCACUGUUGGACAACUCCUCGAUAUCGAGCCCAUGUCUCCGACUAGAGAGGAGGAAAUAAAACGGAAAUAUGCCCGGGGCCAACCUUUGGUCGAGCCAGAGGAGGUCAAUAAGCUCCCAACGAGAAUGUAUGAAUUGCAUCAAUGGUACAUGGACAUUACCAAGAUUUCCAAUCGAGAGUCCCUCAUGGUGAAUGUCAACAAGGAUCAUUACUACCAUGAGAAAGCUGUGACCGUUGAGUAUUCAGAACUAUUUCAGCUAUACAAUAAAGACGCACUCGACAAAUCUAUCGUCAGUUGCUAUUGUCUGUAAGUGAUUUCUUUCUGUAAUUUAAGUCUCAAGCUAGCUGUAGUGAUCAUUUUGAUCAAUCAUUACCUGUAAUUAUCCUCACUAUAUUCUUUUCUGUGGUAUUAUGCGGGAUGAAGAUUUAUGAAAUGAAAAAGGUGGACGCUAUGGCAUUGGGUUCGUUGACCCAAAUACCAUUAAUGAAUACACAUGGAAAAUAGAUCCAUAUCACGAAAAAAGUGUAGAGGACAGCAUGCUACAGUUCUUCAAGGAACUCAAAUACAAUGAAGAUAUACUACUUCCUUACAACUUCCAGUGAGUCACACUGUCUUGUACUACAAAUUCUGUUUUUCCCUACUAGCUAGCUAGCUACAUGUUUUUGCUUACAUAUGCCCGCUUAACUAAGAAAUGCAAACGUCUGUGCAUGUAGAUUUCACUGGAUCUUGUUAAUUAUUAAAGUUGAUGAAGGAACAAUUGAAGUACUAUACUCACUACUUAAGAAAGCAAGUGACUACACCAUCGUGAAGGGGAUAGUCAACAGGUAAUUUCAAUCAUCAUUAACUACAUCUCGGCCUAUUUAUUUAGUUCGUCAUUUCCUGAUAACAACUAUUUAAUAACCCAUUUAUUCAUUUUCUUUGUCGGUGGGUAGGGCUUGGGCAAAGUUCAUCAGGGCCACUCCAGGCCCAUGGAAACGAAAUCUGAAAUGGUAUCGACCCAAGGUAAGUAAUUAAGUAGUACUAGCUAGCUGCCAUCUCUUUAAUUAUCAUGCUUGAUUAAUUAUUAUCUGAUCAAAUUCCAUUCUCGUAAAGGCCCUGAAGCAGGCACCGGGGAAUGAUCUAUGUGCAUACUACGUUUGCGAGAACAUUCGCAUGAUGGCGUCCGAAAGAAGCAAAUCUCAAAGACAGGAGUGAGUACGAUAUCGAUUGUCAGAACACUAUUCACAAUUUUUACACCAUUAUCGAUAUCUAGUCACACAACUAAUACACAUGCAUAUUGAUCUCCUUCUUAACAGUUCAAAGAGGCGCGGGACAAGCUCCUAGCACAGGGCCGCAUAGAAGCAAUUCAAGAGGAAAUAGCGGGAUUUUUGCUCGACCAGGUCAUAGAUCCCAAAGGAGAAUACAAUUACCCGCUACCGCCCCCAUGAACCACUUCCAAUUGUUAUCAUGCUCCGAAGGCACCAAUUAGCUAGGCUAAUGCCAUUGGCUCCGAAGGCACCAAUUAGGAGAAAUUGUAUAUAUAUAUAUACAUGUGUGUAUGUAUGUGUGAAUUAAUUAAUGGUGGUUGUGAGACAUUCGAUGAUAUAUAUAUAUUAUGAUCGGUUCUACUAGAAAUUCUAUUUAUAUACAUGCAUAACGUGUACAAUAUGUAGUAUCGUAAAAUACCAGCAAACGAAAAAUAAUUAAAUGGAAAACACAAAAUUAAAUGAAAAAGAAAUCAUAAACCCAACCCCCCCAACCUUUUAAUACCGGUUGGUGACACCAACCGGUAGUAAAGGGCUCCCUGCCCCCGAAGCUGGCUCGUGCCACGUGGUUGCCCUUUAGCACCGAUUCGUGCUGAACCGGUACUAAAGGGGGGGGGGGCUUUAGUGCCUACACUUUAGCACCGGUUACCAAACCGGCACUAAAGGGCCUUAUGAACCGGUGCUAUUGCCCAGUUCUGCACAAGUGAGGAUAUGUACUGCUCCUGAGUGGUACGGUAAUCCUGUCUUAGAUAUCAUGUUGUUAGACAACAAUGAACCUACGAGCUAUGGAGAAGCGAUGGUGGGCCCGUAUUCCGACAAAUGGUUAGAAGCCUUGAAAUUCGAGAUAGGAUCCAUGUAUCAGAACAAAGUAUGGACUUUGGUGGACUUGCCCGAUGAUCGGCAAGCUAUUGAGAAUAAAUGGAUCUUUAAGAAGAAGACGGACGUGGGCGGUAAUGUUACCAUCUAUGAAGCUCGACUUGUGGGAAAGAGUCUUUUCACAAGUUCAAGGAGUUGACUACGAUGAGAAUUUCUCACCCGUAGCGAUGCUUAAGUCCGUCGGAAUCAUGUUAGCAUUAGCUGUAUUUUUCGAUUAUGAAAUCUGACAGAUGGAUGUCAAAAAACAAGUUUUCUUACCAGUUUUCGUAAGAAAGAGUUGUAUGUGAUACAAUCAAAGUUUUGUCGAUCCUAAGGAUGCUAAAAGGUAUGCUGGCUCCAGCGAUCCUUCUAUGGACUAGAGCAAGCAUCUCGGAGUCAGAAUAUAUGCUUUGAUGGAGUGAUCAAAGCUUUUAGGUUUAUACAAUGUUUGCUAGAAACUUGUAUUUACAAGAAAGUGAGUGGGAGCACUACAACAUUUCUGAUAAGUAUAUGUGGAUGACAUAUUGUUGAUCCGAAAUAAUGUAGAAUUUCUGGAAAGCAUAAACGGUUGUUUGAAGAGUGUUUUUCAAAGGAAGACCUGGAUAAAGCUGCUUACAUAUUGGGCAUCAAGAUCUAUAGAGAUAAAUCAAAACGCCUGAUGAUACUUUCAAAGAACGCACACCUUGACAUGUUUUUGAAGGAGUUCAAAAUAGAUCAGUCAAAGAAGGGGUUCUUACCUGAGUUGUAAGGUGUGAAGUUGAGUAAGACUCAAAGCUUGACCACGACAGAAGAAAGAGGAAGGAUGAAGGUCGUCUCCUAUGCUUUUGUCAUAGGCUCUAUACGGCAUGCCAUGCUGAAGUACCGCACCUGAUGUGUGCCUUGCCACAUGUCUGGCAAGAGGGUACAAAGGUGAUCUAGGAGUGGAUCACCAGAUAGCGGUCGAAAUUAUCCUUAGAGGAAUAAUGAAAUGUUUCUCGGUUAUGGAGAUGAUAAAGAGUUCGAUGUAAAGAGUUACGUCGAUGCAAGCUUAACACCUAUCCGGAUAGCUCCGAGUAGAGAUACCGGAUACGUAUAAUGGAGCAACAAUUUGGAAUAGCUCCAAGUGGAACGUGGUAGCAGCAUCUACGAUAUGACAUGAAGUUUUGCGAAAUACAUAGGGAUCUGAAUAUGGCAAGACCCGUUGACUACAACCUCUGUCACAAGCAUAACAUGAUCAAACCCAGAACUCUUUGAGUGUUAAUCACAUAGUGAUGUGAACUAGAUCAUUGAGUCUAGUAGACUCUUGGAUGUUGGUCACAUGGCGAUGUGACCUGUGAGUGUUAAUCACAUGGCGAUGUGAACUAGAUUAUUGACUCUAGUGCAAGUGGGAGACUGUUGGAAAUAUGCCCUAGAGGCAAUAAUAAAUUAGUUAUUAUUAUAUUUCAUUGUUCAUGAUAAUCGUUUAUUAUCCAUGCUAGAAUUGUAUUGAUAGGAAACUCAGAUACAUGUGUGGAUACAUAGACAACACCAUGUCCCUAGUAAGCCUCUAGUUGACUAGCUCGUUGAUCAAUAGAUGGUUACAGUUUCCUGACCAUGGGCAUUGGAUGUCGUUGAUAACGGGAUCACAUCAUUAGGAGAAUGAUUUGAUGGACAAGACCCAAUCCUAAGCCUAGCACAAAGAUCAUGUAGUUCGUAUGCUAAAGCUUUUCUAAUGUCAAGUAUCAUUUCCUUAGACCAUGAGAUUGUGCAACUCCCGGAUACCGUAGGAGUGCUUUGGGUGUGCCAAACGUCACAACAUAACUGGGUGGCUAUAAAUGUACACUACGGGUAUCUCCGAAAGUGUCUGUUGGGUUGGCACGAAUCGAGACUGGGAUUUGUCACUCCGUGUAACGGAGAGGUAUCUCUGGGCCCACUCGGUAGGACAUCAUCAUAAUGUGCACAAUGUGACCAAGGAGUUGAUCACGGUAUGAUGUGUUACAGAACGAGUAAAGAGACUUGCCGAUAACGAGAUUGAACAAGGUAUCGGGAUACCGACGACCGAAUCUCAGGCAAGUACUAUACCGCUAGACAAAGGGAAUUGUAUAUGGGAUUGAUUGAAUCCUUGACAUCGUGGUUCAUCCGAUGAGAUCAUCGUGGAGCAUGUGGGAGCCAACAUGGUUACCAGAUCCCUCUGUUGGUUAUUGACCGGAGAGUUAUCUCGGUCAUGUCUGCAUGACUCCCGAACCCGUAGGAUCUACACACUUAAGGUUCGAUGACGCUAGGGUUAUAGGGAAAGUAUGUACGCGGUUACCGAAUGUUGUUCGGAGUCUUGGAUGAGAUCCCGGACGUCACGAGGAGUUCUAGAAUGGUCCGGAGGUAAAUAUUGAUAUAUAAGAAGUAUGGUUUUGGCCACCGGAAGUGUUCCGGGCAUCACCGAUAGUGUACCGGGACCACCGGAGGGGUCCGGGGGUCCACCAGGAGGGGCCACGGGCCCCGGAGGCAUACAUGGACCAAUAGUGGGAAGGGACCAGCCCCUAGGUGGGCUGGGGCGCCUCCCACCAAGGCCCAAGGCGCCUCCAAGAGUGGAGGGGGGCAAACCCUAGGGCAGAUGGGCCCUAAGGCCCACCCCAGGUGCGCCUCCCCCUCUCCCCCUUGUGGCCGCCACCCUAGAUGGGAUCUAGGGCUGCCACACCCCUUGGGGUGGGAACCCUAGGUGGGGGCGCAGCCCUCCCUCUCCCCCUAUAUAUAGUGGAGGCAAAGGGGCAACCCAACACACGAUUCGAUCUCCCUGUUGGCACAACCCUACCCCUCUCCCUCCUCGUCUCUCGUAGUGCUUGGCGAAGCCCUGCUGGAGUCCCGCGCUCCUCCACCACCACCACGCCAUCGUGCUGCUGCUGGACGAAGUCUUCCCCAACCUCUCCUUCUCCCCUUGCUGGAUCAAGGCAUAGGAGACGUCACCGGGCUGCACGUGUGUUGAAUGCGGAGGCGCCGUUGUUCGGCGCUUAGAUCGGAAUCAACCGCGAUCUGAAUCGCUGCGAGUACGACUCCUUCAUCCGCGUUCUUGCAACGCUUCCGCUUAGCGAUCUACAAGGGUAUGUAGAUGCACUCCCCUUCCCCUCGUUGCUAGAUUACUCCAUAGAUUGAUCUUGGUGAUGCGUAGAAAAUUUUAAAUUUCUGCUAUGAUCCCCAACAUUGAUAAUACCCUUUCAUGAUGUAAGAAAUUAUAUUGCAUCCAUGGAUUAAAAUAAGCUCAUUGAGGUAACUAAUCAUACCUAAUGACGAAUUACAUGGCAUAGGCAUCAAUGACAUAGUUGAAGAAAAUGGAUAAUGUGUGGACUGAAGAUUUUGAAACCUUCGGCUUGGUCCUUCAUAGUUUUCAGUCUUUUCCUUCUUCACCUUUGCCGCACUUCUUGUAAUGGAAGUUUGCACAUAAUUCUUAUUUUGAGUACCUCCUUUGGGAACCCAUGCCAUGUUUCUCUUUUCAACUUCUUGUGCGCUAAGAUUUUGCAACUUCUUCUUUUGCCAAUACGAUAAGCCGAGUGGGCACCCCGGCUGCGAUUUUGUUUGAAGUAAUGGCAAUUCUUGUUUUACCUUAUGCACUCUCAACUUCUUCCCUUCAGAUUUGGCACUUGAUUGACUUGCCAGAUUGCCUUUUGUAGCCAAGGUCUACACUUUAAUUGGUUGGUUUCAUUUGAGAUAAUAUCUGAAGUGGCACUCUGCUACCUCUUGAGCACUGCGUUGGUUUUCCCUUGAAGAGGAAUGGUGAUGCAGCAAAGUAGCGUAAGUAUUUCCCUCGGUUUUUGAGAACCAAGGUAUCAAUCCAGUAGGAGGCCGCGCACGAGUCCGUCGCACCUACACAAACAAAUAAAUCCUCGCAACCAACGCGAUAAGGGGUUGUCAAUCCCUACACGGUCACUUACGAGAGUGAGAUCUGAUAGAUAUGAUAGGAAAAUAUUUUUGGUAUUUUUAUGAUAAAGAUAAAUAAAAGAUGCAAAGUAAAAUAAAUGGCAAAGGAAAUAACUAAGUAUUGGAAGAUUAAUAUGAUGGAAGAUAGACCCGGGGGCCAUAGGUUUCACUAGUGGCUUCUCUCAAGAGCAUAAGUAUUUACGGUGGGUGAACAAAUUACUGUUGAGCAAUUGACAGAAUUGAGCAUAGUUAUGAGAAUAUCUAGGUAUGAUCAUGUAUAUAGGCAUCACGUCCGAGAAAGUAGACCGACUCCUGCCUGCAUCUACUACUAUUACUCCACACAUCGACCGCUAUCCAGCAUGUAUCUAGAGUAUUAAGUUCAAGAGAACAGAGUAACGCUUUAAGCAAGAUGACAUGAUGUAGAGGGAUAAGCUCAUGCAAUAUGAUAUAAACCCCAUCUUGUUAUCCUCGAUGGCAACAAUACAAUACGUGCCUUGCUGCCCCUACUGUCACUGGGAAAGGACACCGCAAGAUUGAACCCAAAGCUAAGCACUUCUCCCAUUGCAAGAAAGAUCAAUCUAGUAGGCCAAACCAAACCGAUAAUUCGAAGAGACUUGCAAAGAUAACCAAUCAUACAUAAAAGAAUUCAGAGAAGCUUCAAAAAUUGUUCAUAGAUAAACUUGAUCAUAAACCCACAAUUCAUCGGUCUCAACAAACACACCGCAAAAGAAGAUUACAUCAAAUAGAUCUCCACAAGAGAGGGGGAGAACUUUGUAUUGAGAUCCAAAAAGAGAGAAGAAGCCAUCCGUAGGUCUGAAGUAAACUACUCACACUUCAUCGGAGAGGCUGUGGUGUUGAUGUAGAAGCCCUCCGUGAUCGAUGCCCCCUCAGGCGGAGCUCCGGAAAAGGCCCCAAGAUGGGAUCUCGUCGAUACAGAAAGUUACGGCGGUGGAAUUAGGGUUUUGGCUCCGUAUCUGGUAGUUUGGGGGUACGUAGGUAUAUAUAGGAGGAAGGAGUACGUCGGUGGAGCAGCAUGGAGCCCACGAGGGUGGAGGGCGCGCCCCCUACCUCGUGCCUUCCUCGUUGAUUGCUUGACGUAGGGUCUAAGUCCUCUGGAUCAUGUUCAUUCCAAAAAUCACGUUCCCGAAGGUUUCAUUCCGUUUGGACUCCGUUUGAUAUUCUUUUUCUGCGAAACCCUAAAUAGGCAAAAACAACAAUUCUGGGCUGGGCCUCUGAUUAAUAGGUUAGUCCCAAAAAUAAUAUAAAAGUGUAUAAUAAAACCCAAUAAUGUCCAAAAUAGAAUAUAAUAUAGCAUGGAACAAUAAAAAAUUAUAGAUACAUUGGAGACAUAUCAAGCAUCCCCAAGCUUAAUUCCUGCUCGCCCUCGAGUAGGUAAAUGAUAAAAACAGAUUUUUUGAUGUGGAAUGCUUCUUGGCAUAAUUUCAAUGUAAUUCUUCUUAAUUGUGGUAUGGAUAUUCAGAUCCGAAAGAUUCAAGACAAAAGUUCAAUAUUGACAUAGAAAUAAUAAUACGUCAAGCAUACUAACUAAGCAAUUAUGUCUCUUCAAAAUAACAUGGCCAAAGAAAGUUAUCCCUACAAAAUCAUAUAGUCUGGCUAUGCUCUAUCUUCACCACACAAAGUAUUUAAAUCAUGCACAACCCCGAUGACAAGCCAAGCAAUUGUUUCAUACUUUUGGUGUUCUCAAACUUUUUCAAUCUUCACGCAAUAGAUGAGCGUGAGCCAUGGACAUAGCACUUUAGGUGGAAUAGAAUGAUGGUUGUGGAGGAGACAAAAAAAGGGAAGAUAGUCUCACAUCAACUAGGCGUAUCAACGGGCUAUGGAGAUGCCCAUCAAUAGAUAUCAAUGUGAGUGAGUAGGGAUUGCCAUGCAACGGAUGCACUAGAGCUAUAAGUAUAUGAAAGCUCAACAAAAGGAACUAAGUGGGUGUGCAUCCAACUCGCUUGCUCACGAAGACCUAGGGCAUUUUUAGGAAGCCCAUCAUUGGAAUAUACAAGCCAAGUUCUAUAAUGAAAAAUUCCCACUAGUAUGUGAAAGUGGUAAUCAUAGGAGACUCUCUAUUAUGAAGAUCAUGGUGCUACUUUGAAGCACAAGUGUGGUAAAAGGAUAGUAGCAUUGUCCCUUCUCUCUUUUUCUCUCAUAUUUUUUUAUUUGGGUUUUUUAUGGCCUCUUUUUUUCAUCCAGGGUCUCAUCCCGACUUGUGGGGGAAUCAUAGUCUCCAUCAUCCUUUCCACACUUGGGACAAUGCUCUAAAAAUGAUAAUCAUCACACUUUUAUUUACUUACAACUCAACAAUUACAACUCGAUACUUAGAACAAAAUAUGACUCUAUGUGAAUGCCUCCGGCGGUGUACCGGGAUAUGCAAUGAAUCAAGAGUGACAUGUAUGAAAGAAUUAUGAACGGUGACUUUUCCACAAAUACAAUGUCAACUACAUGAUCAUGCAAAGCAAUAUGACAAUGAUGGAGCGUGUCAUAGUAAAUGGAACGGUGGAAAGUUGCAUGUCAAUAUAUCUCGGAAUGGCUAUGGAAAUGCCAUGAUAGGUAGGUAUGGUGGCUGUUUUGAGGAAGGUAUAUGGUGGGUGUAUGAUACCGGCGAAAGGUGUGCGGUAUUAGAGAGGCUAGCAAUGGUGGAAGGAAGAAAAGUGCGUAUGAUCCAUGGACUCAACCUUAGUCAUAAAGAACUCAUAUACUUAUUGCAAAAUUCUACAAGUUAUCAAAGCAAAGUAUUACGCGCAUGCUCCUAGGGGGAUAGAUUGGUAGGAAAAGACCAUCGCUCGUCCCCGACCGCCACUCAUAAGGAAGACAAUCAAUAAAUAAAUCAUGCUCCGACUUCAUCACAUAACGGUUCACCAUACGUGCAUGCUACGGGAAUCACAAACUUUAACACAAGUAUUUCUUAAAUUCACAACUACUCGACUAGCAUGACUCUAAUAUCACCAUCUCCAUAUCUCAAAACAAUUAUCAAGUAUCAAACUUCUCAUAGUAUUCAACACACUCAUAAGAAUUUUUUUAUUAAUCUUGAAUUCCUAACAUAAUUAAAGCAAAUUACCAUGCUGUUUUGUAGGACUCUCAAAAUAAUCUAAGUGAAGCAUGAGAGAACAAUAUUUUCUAUAAAACAAAUCCACCGACGUGCUCUAAAAGAUAUAAGUGAAGCACUAGAGUAAAAACUAUAUAACUGAAAAGGUAUAAGUGAAGCACAUAGAGUAUUCUAACAAUUUCCGAAUCAUGUGUGUCUCUCUCAAAAGGUGUGUACAACAAGGAUGAUUUUGUAAAACUAACAAAUAAAGACUCAAAUAAUACAAGACGCUCCAAGCAAAACACAUAUCAUGUGGUAAAUAAAAAUAUAGCUCCAAGUAAAGUUACCGAUGGAAGUAGACGAAAGAGGGGAUGCCUUCUGGGGCAUCCCCAAGCUUUGGCUUUUAGGUGUCCUUAGAUUAUCUUGGGGUGCCAUGGGCAUCCCCAAGAUUAGUCUCUUUCCACUCCUUGUUCCAUAAUCUAUCAAAUCUUUGACCCAAAACUUGAAAACUUCACAACACAAAACUUAAAGUAGAAAAUCUCGUGAGCUCCGUUAGCGAAAGAAAACAAAACACCAAUUCAAGGUACUGUAAUGAACUCAUUCUUUAGUUAUAUUGGUGUUAAACCUACUGUAUUCAAACUUAUCUAUGGUUUAUAAACUAUUUUACUAGCCAUAGAUUCAUCAAAAUAAGCAAACAACACACAAAAAAUAGAAUCUGUCAAAAACAGAACAGUCUGUAGUAAUCUGUAGCUAACGCAAGAUUUGGAACCCCAAAAAUUCUAAAAUAAAUUUCUGGACGUGAGGAAUUUAUCUAUUAAUCAUCUUCAAAAAGAAUUAACUAAAUAGCACUUUCCAAAAAAAUGGCAGGAAUUCUCGUGAGCGCUAAAAUUUCUGUUUUUUACAGCAAGAUUAAAAAGACUUUCCCCAAGUCUUCCCAAUGGUUCUACUUGGCACAAACACUAAUUAAACACAAAAAACACAACCAAAACAGAGUUUAGAUAAAUUAUUUAUUACUAAACAGGAGAAAAAAGCAAGGAAUAAAAAUAAAAUUGGGUUGCCUCCCAACAAGCGCUAUCGUUUAACGCCCCUAGCUAGGCAUAAAAGCAAGGAUAGAUCUAGGUAUUGCCAUAAUAAUAAGAUAGAUCAUUAAAACUUAUUUCAUAUUCUCUACAUUCGGCAACAAGUUUUUUUUGAGGCAAGCAAAAGUAAUCAAAAUGGCUAAAUUUAAUGGGACAAAAGUCCCCAAGAUCAACUUUGGGAGGUAUAGGUUCCUCUUUUGGCCCUUCGUGUUGCACAACCAAUUCAUCAUUGUAAGCAUUCUUUUGACAGAACUUUGUGAGCCUAUACUCAAGAGAAUAUCCUAGUUCAUUAUUUAUAAUAGCAAAAUCAUCAUUAAGUUCAGAAAUUCUAUCAACUAGAACAUUGGUAGGAACCUUUUUCUAAGAUUUUCAUUGAAAGCAACAUAGUCUAGAGAUUGAAAACGCAUUAUUUCUUCUUGAUCAAAAAGGAUAGCCUCUAUGGGAGGACGGCAAGCGUCCACCCUAUAAUGCGCAAAGAUUUAUCUGGCCUCUUUUAUUAUGAAUCUAAACUCAUAAGCCAAAAAGAUAGUAGCGGCACACUUAACAGAAGAAUGCUCAAUAUUAGAAAAUUCUAAGAAAAUCCUUUGUAUGCAAGGAUGCAUGUGCAUAAAUUGUCUCUCAAGUUCAACUACAAGCAAGGCGAUAGUGUCCGCAAGAGUACUAGUUCUAUGAAGGAUAGAACUACCCAUAGAAGGCAAAGCACCGACAUAAGUAAAGAAAUCUUAGAUAACUCCUUUUCCAAUAAUAUUACCACUACCAAUACGGAAUUUUUUGUAUGUAAGAUAGGGGGUUCUUCAGCAGGAGCAUCAGAAUUUUUCAUGAUAUUAUUAUUGUCCAUAUCAACAAUAAUUUCCCCAAUUUCAGACAUAACGGCAGAAAGUGCAAGGGGCAAAAAAGAGGCAAAUAGAGAAAGAGAGGGAGGACGGAGAGAGAGAGGGCGAAUAAAACAGCAAGGGUGAAGUGGGGGAGAGGAAAACGAGAGGCAAAUGGCAAAUAAUGUAAUGCGGGAGAUAAGGGUUUGCGAUGGGUACUUGGUAUGUCUUGACUUGCAACGGCGCCACAAGUGACUCAUUGUCGGGAGCCAAAUCUUGACUUGUCUUGCGCGAACCUCCCCGGCAGUGGUGCCACAAAUCCUUCUUGCUACCUCUUGAGCACUGCGUUGGUUUUCCCUUGAAGAGGAAAGGGUGAUGCAUCAAAGUAGCGUAAGUAUUUCCCUCAGUUUUUGAGAACCAAGGUAUCAAUCCAGUAGGAGGCCGCGCACGAGUCCCUCGCACCUACACAAACAAAUAAAUCCUCGCAACCAACGCGAUAAGGGGUUGUCAAUCCCUACACGAUCACUUACGAGAGUGAGAUCUGAUAGAUAUGAUAGGAAAAUAUUUUGGUAUUUUUAUGAUAAAGAGAAAUAAAAGAUGCAAAGUAAAAUAAAUGGCAAAGGAAAUAACUAAGUAUUGGAAGAUUAAUAUGAUGGAAGAUAGACCCGGGGGCCAUAGGUUUCACUAGUGGCUUCUCUCAAGAUCAUAAGUAUUUACGGUGGGUGAACAAAUUACUGUUGAGCAAUUGACAGAAUUGAGCAUAGUUAUGAGAAUAUCUAGGUAUGAUCAUGUAUAUAGGCAUCACGUCCAAGACAAGUAGACCGACUCCUUCCUGCAUCUACUACUAUUACUCCACACAUCGACCGCUAUCCAGCAUGCAUCUAGAGUAUUAAGUUCAAGAGAACAGAGUAACACUUUAAGCAAGAUGACAUGAUGUAGAGGGAUAAACUCAUGCAAUAUGAUAUAAACCCCAUCUUCUUAUCCUCGAUGGCAACAAUACAAUACAUGCCUUGCUUCCCCUACUGUCAUUGGGAAAGGAAACCGCAAGAUUGAACCCAAAGGUAAGCACUUCUCCCAUUGCAAGAAAGAUCAAUCUAGUAGGCCAAACCAAAUUGAUAAUUCGAAGAGACUUGCAAAGAUAACCAAUCAUACAUAAAAGAAUUCAGAGAAGAUUCAAAUAUUGUUCAUAGAUAAACUUGAUCAUAAACCCACAAUUCAUCGGUCUCAACAAACACAUCGCAAAAGAAGAUUACAUCAAAUAGAUCUCCACAAGAGAGGGGGAGAACUUUGUAUUGAGAUCCAAAAGGAGAGAAGAAGCCAUCUAGCUAAUAACUAUGGACCCGUAGGUCUGAAGUAAACUACUCGCACUUCAUCGGAGGGGAUAUGGUGUUGAUGUAGAAGCCCUCCGUGAUCGAUGCCCCAUCCGACGGAGCUCCGGAAAAGGCCCCAAGAUGGGAUCUCGUGGAUACAGAAGUUACGGUGGUGUAAUUAGGGUUUUGGCUCCGUAUCUGGUAGUCUGGGGGUACGUAGGUAUAUAUAGGAGGAAGGAGUAUGUCGGUGGAGCAACAGGGGGCCCAUGAGGGUGGAGGGCGCGCCUGGGGGGGUAGGCGCGCCCCCUACCUUGUGCCUUCCUCGUUGAUUGCUUGACGUAGGGUCCAAGUCCUCUGGAUCAUGUUCGUACCGAAAAUCACGUUCCCGAAUGUUUCAUUCCGUUUGGACUCCGUUUGAUAUUCUUUUUCUGCGAAACCCUAAAAUAGGCAAAAAAUAGCAAUUCUAGGUUGGGCCUCCGGUUAAUAGGUUAGUCCCAAAAAUAAUAUAAAAGUGUAUAAUAAAGCCCAAUAAUGUCCAAAACAGAAUAUAAUAUAGCAUGGAACAAUAAAAAUUAUAGAUACGUUGGAGACGUAUCACACUCUUACGACCAUCUCUUUUGACGCGGUAGACUUGCUCAACCACCUCCUUAUUCUUCCUUGUGCUCCGGACCAAUUCCUUAUGAUUGAAACGGUCUUUGACAUGUGAUUGUUCAAAUGUUGAUCUUUUUGGAGCUGCAUAAUGUUUGUAAGAUGGUCUAAAAUAAGAUGAAGAAUGCGCCCUUGUAUCAUACCUGUCCCAUGAUGGAUAUGGAUUUACAUGAUCAUAGCAAGGUAUCCAUGGCAUUGGCAUUGGCGGCACAAAAUAUGGAUAUGAAUAUACCGCAUUAGAUUCUCAUUUUGCCAAUACCGAUCCUCGGGUUUGCGCCUAGGGGGUGAUCUUGAUGCUUUUCCAUUAGUUAACCGACAAUCACUUUUCUCUUCACUCUUCUUUUGGUAUUUAUCUAAUAAUUGUGCAAAAGUGACUUUGGACUUCUUGCACUUGUGCUUAUUGCGGCCUUUAUCUCCUUUGUCUUGACUUGCAUCGAUCUUUGGAUUUUCUUGUUGACCCCCAGUCCUUGGCGUCUUCAUUGUAGCUUCGAUUGAAUUUUCUCACCCUCAAGAUUAUGUUCAUUGUGAUCUUCAACAACUUGAUUACUUGAAAGCUUGAUCCCAUCACCUAUAGUUUUUACCUUCUCUUUAAAUGGAUCGGCUUGAAGCAGCCGAUGCAAAAACCUUUUGCCACCGGGACCAAUUGGAAUAGACUCGUCAUCUCUUGGCGUCUCAACAAAUUUCAAUCGUCCUUUAUCAAUGGCCGAUUUAACUAUUUGACGAAGCAUGUUGCAAUCCUUAAUACUAUGCUUGAAAGAAUCAUGCAACUUACAAUACAUUCGUCCUUGGAUAGAUGGCUUGGCACGGUGAACAAGAAUUGUAAUGUAAUUAUUUUUUAACAACAAAUUAAAGAUUUGAUCACACAUGUUUGAAUAGAAGGUAUACCUUUUGUUUUCUAGCCGAUCUUGAUGUGCGAACGGCUUUGGAGGUAAGCAAAUGAAUGGUUCAGAUUUAGAAUCUCCCCAUUCGGCUAUGCAUUGUGUUUUGCACUCUAUCUCCGAUGUCUUUGGAUAAGAUAUAAUAUUAGCAUCGGACUUCUCAAAAGAAUUUAACAUUGGCUUUAAACUUCUAAAAUCAAAGCAGUUAGAACAUACAUGUCUCAAUCGAGACCAUGCGUAAGCCAAGUAUGAAGCAAACAAAUCUACCCAAUUAUAUAUGAACUUUAAAUAAAGCAAUGAGAAAAGUUUUGGCUUCAAUAAUAAGACACUAUCGGUCACUUUGAAUGGUACAAUGUAUUGACCGAUAUGCUUUGUAACACUUUUAUUGCUAUCAAGUAAAUUACCCCUCACCAUUGGUCUUUCAAAAUUACUUAUGAGCAUUUUUAUUAUAGAAGCAGCAACAAUAAAUUUGCGACCAAGUCGUAAGAUAGGUAAAUCACUUGCUUGACAUACCUUUUCAAAUACGUUGGGGGAGCAUGAUGGUUGUGUUACUUGAACGAUAUCUUAUUCCUCUUUCGAAUAGCUCUUCAACACCUUGUCAUCCUCUUUUUCUAGAACAGAUUCGGCAUACGCAAUAUUUGAUUCGGUCUUUUCAAUAACCGAAUUAACUUUGUUAUCCGAAUCACCACUCUUUCUUUCUUUGAUUCGCAAGGUUGCUUGUUCUUGUCUAAAUUCAGCAAACAUUGCAGCUAGGCUAUCUUUAAGCUUUUUAUUCCAAUUUCAGCCCAAUCUUCAUCGGAUUACCCCCAAUACUUAGAGACUCUUUCGGUAAUGAGAUGUCACCGAAAUUCUGUAAUUGUGCAGGGAAAACAUUGUAUGCUACGAUGCUAGGUGAAGACACAUGUGAUCGUAUAGAACUUUCACUUAUUCGGCUAUUAGCGUGAAGGUGCGAAGCCGAAUUAUGAAUACCUAUAGUUGCAUAUGGUGCCGAAAAAUUAGUAGCAUUGGGUGUAGCAUAUGAUGUUUGAGGGUAAUUGGCCGAAUAACUAGUGGUAGCAUGGCCAAUUCCCAUAUCCACCGGCAUGUUUGGAUUAACAUGUUGCAAAUUAGUUGCCGAUGAAUAAAAAGAUGAAACACUAUGUUGCAUGCCAUUGAAAGUUCCUACAUGGAGUGUUUCAACUUGAUUAACCAAACUCAUCAUGUUGUUCAUCAGCAUAUGAAUUUGUGGGGUUGUCGAUGCAUGGGAGUUGGAAUGCAUAUGUUGCAUCUUGCUAAAAUUAUAUGAGGUAGAAGCAAGAAGAUUUUGUUGUAUCGGCUCAUGAACAUAAUUAGAUGCAUGAUUGACAAAGCUAGGGCUAGCCGAUACAUUAUGCUCAUUAGAUGAUCUAGCAACAACAUAUGCAAUAUUUGCAUCUACAUAUGUGAAUUGGGUAUUCAUAUUAUCUUUGUAGAUUGCAAACCCUAGAUGACGAUCUCUUCGUAGCAAAAACGGGCUGGAGACCGUUCAAAGCUUCGUCCACAGCGGAGUCGCCAAAAAGUGUGUUCGCACAUGAACACGUCACCGUGUACCUCCAACACCGAGGGUGGUGCACCGCAGGUCACGUCGAAGGAGAUCCGCCCGGAAGCGCGGUACGCAAGCAAUCCGGCGGGUGCUUUUGAGGACACGAAACCCCACACACCCGGGAAAGACCCCGUCAGGGUGCGCAACAGCCAUGGGCUGCCCUAGGUCGACCUGAUCGCCCCUAGGGCCUCGAGGUUCGCCGCCUUGCAAUGAAGAAGAACGAACGAAGAACGAGGAAGAAGAAGAAUAAGAGAGAAGAUAAAAGUAAAGGUAAAAGAUGAUAGAUUGAUUUGUCGAUUGUGUGUUGUUUAAUCGGCCAUCACCCCUUACAUAUAUAUGAGGCGGCUGGACUUCCCGUACAAGAAAAUGACUCAAAUCACGUCCAAAUCAUCAAAAGAUAACCUAACUCGGACUACGAGGGCCGGAACUUCCGGGCUAAAAUUACAUCAAGUAGCCCUCUUGCACAGCUCCUGCAGGUUGCAUAUGGCUUCGGAUCGUUUUGAUGGUCCCAAAAGCAAAGUUGUAGAUUUUGCAAUGGAGAAAAACUCUUCAGUUAAUCACCUUUUCAUCCGAGGUAAUCUUGAGGUUGGAUUCGGGCCCGCAAAUCUGUAAAUAAUAUUGAAAUUCCAGUUUUCGGGGCGCACCGUGUGCAAAGUUUCUGUUUAGCCCGGAACCUCCUCGGAAGUUUUGCCCGGAACUUCCGGGGCAAACUUAUGCAGCACACCAUUUAGGCUCUAACUUUUACAUACGAACUCUGAUUUAGAUGUUUUGUAUAUCAAAAUCGAUCGUUUCGACGAGACGAAGACAAUCUGUGUAGACACUUUUCUCAUAUGAGGCCAUCUUGGGGGUGUAAUCAGCCGAAUAGUGUUCUGAAUACAAAAUCUGAGUACUUCAAACACAACUUCGGCCUUAGAGAUGAGACCGGAUGGCUAUGGCCCAAAUAUCAAAAUUUCUACUUUUUGACGAUACGGAACUUUCUCACUUUGAGCACUUCUCCAAUUGAGACCAUCUUAAUUAAGUUCUUGGCCGUGCCAAAAUCUGAUGUCAACAAUCAGAGAGCAAUAUUAUUAAAAAAUGGCUUAAAUAUUUAGGUUUUUCAUCUUCGAUGAACCAGCUAAAUUGAUGGUCCAACGGGUGAAAAUCUGAACUGACAACCUCAUCGAUUCAGUUGUCGGUCCCGUUUCUGAAACUAUGGUUGCAUGGUAGACAUGCUCUCAUGUUCACAUCAUAAGAACGUUAUGGACCAAGCUUGUAUGUUUAUUAGUUACAAUAAUUUUGAUAACAUGGAAGCAUGCACAUGCACCCAAAUAGCUGUUUAAUGACUUGUAUCAAGGUUUAUCUAUGUAGGAUAUAUGGAUUAUAGUUAACACACAUAGAUGUCUAGUUAUCAGUUGCAAAACAUUCCUCAAGUUUGGGUCAUACUAUAGUAGAUGCACAAGAAUGUUAUGGACUAUGCUUGGGCAUCAUGAUGGAGCUACCGGACAAGCACGGGCGUCCGCGAUUGUGACCAAUGUGCAAGUAGAAAGAUAUGGGGGACUGUUUUUGGCGCCAGCAGCUAAAAUAUGAGUAAUGCUAUGUCCAUGAAUGGUUGGCUGGGCGAGCACUUAAAUUUAGCGUUUUCUUAGGAGAAGCUAGUUAUUUAUUUAGGUCAACUUCCCAAAAAGGUUAUUUAGGCAAAUAAAACCAGGACAGGUCAGUUUUUUCUCCUAAUUAUCACUUAAAUCUUCUGAUAAACAUUGUAGGUGGAGCAUUACAGCUAAAAUAUAUAGAGGAUCUCUAUCCAUUCAGAAAUGCAGAGAAUGAAAGGAGAGAAUAUCAGGUGAUACCACCCUUCACAUGUUACCAUGCUCCAACUUUCGAAAAGUCAUAUUUAAUUGUUUCAAAAAAAAUCCAAAUUUUGUGUGUGGAUGUGAACAAGACAUGUGACUACUGACGCUACAAAUCCAGAUCAAAAUUCGAAACACACAUUGAGAAAUAAAAAAGAUAAAUCUAGAAUAAAUUGAUUCAAAAGAAGACAAAACAUGAUUAGUGUCAGAAAUAACACUAUUCACAUAUGGAUUUGUCUUUUUUAUUUCUCAAUGUAUAUUUCGAAUUUUGAUCUGAACAUCCACAAACAAAUUUAGAAUUUUCCGAAACAUUUUAAUGUGAUUUUUAAAAAUUGGAUCAUGGGAGCAUGUGAAGGGCGGUAUCACCUGAUAUCUACCCGAAAUGAAAGACAUGUUUCGGUGUCUCUUUGAACUUUUUAUAAUAGAGAGCCAUAGUGAGGAUCUACUAGAAUGAGAACAUGUAGUAUUUGAACCCGAGCUCAGAUGCUCUAUAUCAAUAGAGCAAUAAAAAAUAAGUAAAAAUAAAAUAAAAAGGUCUGACUUUUUUGUGGCAAACAUUGAUGAACACUUCAACUGCGUGCCAAAUUUUGUGAGGAAAUCGUAACCGUGCAGGUCUGAGCAAAAAAGGCAAAAUCAAUGCUUUAAAAAGAAUAUUAUUGGGAGCAUUUUGAAGGAUCGAUAUUUUUUCAGCCCUUCACGAUUGUCAUUUCAUCGCAACAAAAAAUUAACCCAGUUAAAACAUUCAUCAAUGUUUAUAAAAAAACUCAAAAUUAUUUUAAUUUAUUUAAUGUUAACUAGGGAGCACGUGAGCUCGGAAUCAAAAGUGCACUUUUUGCUAGAAUGACUCCAUCUUCUACAUACAUUCUAUAUAGAGAGAUAAAAAUGCGAAUAUUCAAUCUUGAGCCCGGGCUCAUCUGCACCUGGGCAAGAAAUAAUUCACGAAAAAUUAAAAAAAAAUCAAAAAAAUCCAAAUUGUUUGUGCAUGGUAGAUAAUUUGGUGUGUGAGAUGCGCUCCAAAUUUCUGAGCAUUUGGACAUUUGAGUAGCUCUCAGCAAAAAACCAAUUGGGUCAGAAUAGUAUAUGAACAAUACACUGUUUAACAUACCCCAAAUUUGUCUUUUUUGCUAAGAGCUACUCAGAUGUCCAAAUGAUUUGAAAUUUGGACCGAACAUCACGUACCAAAUUAUCUACCAUGCCAAAAAAAUUAGAUUUUUUUUAAAAUUAAUAUUUGUUUUAAUUUUUUUAUUUAGCGCUGGUGCAGAUACUCCUUGAAGCCAAAACGCCUCACUCAGAAAAAUGUCCUUACUCUCCCGACAUCAAAUUACUCAAACACUUCACCCCAGCCAAAGAUUGAAGGAACACACAGCAGUGCAUCUUAGAUAACUCGGAAUGAAGAUCAACUGAAGAAACACAGCAGCAGCGCAUCUGCCUGCGCAAGCCGCCGAGCACCUGGCGCUCGACCUGGAAAUGGAGGAUGAGGAAGUCAGCAGCGCCCCACACGAAACGAAAAGGCCCGGCGUGCUUUCUUCCCCCUCGUGCCACCAUGCCGGAUAAGCCUCCCUGCGCCACCAACCGCCGUCCCCCUCGCACGACUCGACCCAGUUCCUGCUUUGCCCACGUCGACUCGACCCAGUUCGGCUGCCACAAAGCCACCACCCGCUCCGUGCGUUCCCCUCACCUACCAAUCCAGUGGUCAACCCCGCCGUCCAGUUCGAUAAUGCUACACUUACUGGAAAUUUUUCACGGACGGUAGCUUACAGAUGGAGGUGGCAGCAUUAAAUUCUUCACCAACCCACUCUCAUAAGUCAUACCUACCUCCUCAGCUGCCUAUUUAACCCGUCUUCUCCCUCCAUUCCCCUCCAAGAAGAGCCUCAGCUUCAUCUGCAGCUACAGCUCCUCUUCAGCACAUACAUCUGCCGGCGUCUAGCUAGCUUACUUUCAGAACCAAGAUACACAUACACCUGCCGGCGUCUAGCUAGCUUACUUUCAGAAUCAAGAUACACAUACACCUGCCGGCGUCCAGCUAGCUCGCUUGCUUCAGUACUUCUCUGCAUCUUUCGAUGGAGUGCGAGAAUGCACACGUUGCCGCCAACGGCGAUGGCUUGUGCGUGGCACAGCCGGCGCGGGCCGACCCACUGAACUGGGGGAAGGCGGCGGAGGAGCUCUCGGGUAGCCAUUUGGAUGCCGUGAAGCGGAUGGUAGAGGAGUACCGACGGCCUGCGGUGACCAUGGAGGGCGCCAGCCUGACCAUCGCCAUGGUCGCCGCGGUGGCUGCCGGCAGCGACACCAGGGUGGAGCUCGACGAGUCCGCCCGGGGCCGCGUCAAGGAGAGCAGCGACUGGGUCAUGAACAGCAUGAUGAACGGCACCGACAGCUACGGUGUCACCACCGGCUUCGGCGCCACCUCUCAUCGGAGGACCAAGGAGGGCGGCGCUCUCCAGAGAGAGCUCAUCCGGUACGAAUUAAACCGCAAAACCAGUUCUUCCUCUUGUUAAGCAUUUCUGUUAGUUAUGUGAGUACCAGACUAUGAAUUGAGUUAUGGAAGCCUUAUUUUUUCGUGAUUGCUUGUGUGUUCAGAUUCCUUAACGCGGGAGCCUUCGGCACCGGCACCGACGGCCACGUCCUGCCUGCCGCGGCGACGAGGGCGGCGAUGCUCGUCCGAGUCAAUACCUUACUCCAGGGAUAUUCUGGCAUCCGCUUCGAGAUCCUGGAGACGGUCGCCACGCUUCUCAACGCCAACGUGACACCAUGCCUCCCGCUUCGGGGCACGAUCACCGCAUCCGGUGACCUCGUCCCGCUUUCAUACAUAGCGGGCCUCGUCACCGGCCGCCCAAACUCCAUGGCGACCGCUCCAGAUGGCACGAAGGUUAAUGCCGCUGAGGCAUUUAAGAUCGCCGGCAUCCAGCAUGGCUUCUUUGAGCUGCAGCCAAAGGAAGGCCUAGCCAUGGUGAAUGGCACGGCAGUGGGCUCAGGGCUUGCAUCCAUGGUGCUUUUCGAGGCUAACAUCCUUAGCCUCCUUGCCGAGGUCCUGUCAGCCGUCUUCUGCGAGGUGAUGAACGGCAAACCAGAGUACACCGACCACUUGACCCACAAAUUGAAGCACCACCCCGGGCAGAUCGAGGCUGCUGCCAUCAUGGAGCAUAUCCUUGAAGGGAGCUCCUACAUGAUGCUCGCGAAGAAGCUCGGUGAGCUUGACCCAUUGAUGAAGCCAAAGCAAGAUAGGUAUGCACUCCGCACAUCGCCACAGUGGCUUGGCCCUCAAAUUGAGGUCAUCCGUGCUGCCACCAAGUCGAUAGAGCGGGAGAUCAACUCCGUCAACGACAACCCACUCAUCGAUGUCUCCCGUGGCAAAGCUAUCCAUGGUGGAAACUUCCAAGGCACGCCCAUCGGUGUGUCCAUGGACAACACCAGGCUUGCCAUUGCUGCGAUUGGCAAGCUCAUGUUUGCCCAGUUCUCAGAGUUGGUGAAUGACUUCUACAACAACGGCCUUCCUUCAAACCUCUCCGGUGGGCGCAACCCAAGCUUGGACUAUGGCUUCAAGGGUGCCGAGAUUGCCAUGGCCUCCUACUGCUCCGAGCUUCAGUUCUUGGGCAACCCUGUGACCAACCAUGUCCAGAGUGCGGAGCAGCACAACCAAGAUGUCAACUCUCUUGGUCUCAUCUCCUCAAGGAAGACCGCCGAAGCCAUUGACAUACUCAAGCUCAUGUCCUCAACGUUCUUGGUCGCGUUGUGCCAGGCUAUCGACCUCCGCCACCUUGAGGAGAAUGUCAAGAAUGCUGUCAAGAGUUGUGUGAAGACUGUGGCUAGGAAGACACUGAGCACCGAUACCAAUGGCCAUCUCCACAAUGCGCGCUUCUGCGAGAAGGACCUUCUGCUCACAAUCGACCGUGAGGCGGUGUUUGCGUACGCAGACGAUCCUUGUAGCGCCAACUACCCACUCAUGCAGAAGAUGCGUGCAGUUCUUGUGG